rnacentral:lncRNA from 1 species
UUGUUUCAAUCUUAGGUUGAUUGAGCAGUAAAAGUAUCAUGGAAGCCUCUAUAUUAGGAGUCGAAUGUCAUUUUACCACCCCAAAACUUAAAAAAUGGGUAAAUUAGUUCUUAUACAUUAGAUCAAAAAGUAAAUUGGUCAUUCUGUUAAAAAUUAUAUUCAUUUAUAUUGUUAAAAAUUGGUCCACAUACAUCGGCAUAAGGUACACAUGGCAUGUCACAUGUCAUUGUCUAGUUAUUCUGUCAACCACACCAGUUUUUAACAAUACAAAUGAAUAAAGUUUUUAAUAUAAAUGACCAAUUUGUUAUUUAAUCUAAUGUAUAGGGAAUAGUUUGCCCAUUUUCUGAGUAGAUGGGGCAAAAUGCAAUUUGAUUCCUAGUAUAAAGGCCUCAAUGGUACAUUUACCUUAAUUGAGCUUUAGCUCAGUUGACAUCAUUGCUAUUACAAUAACAAGGAAGACAUGAAUUCAAGUGGGCUUAAGCGUGUUUUUCCUGCAAUUUAAAAGUUUAUACUUUAUAGGUAGAACUAAGCAUUGUAUAAAAAAGAAUAUUGUAUCAAUCUAGUACUUUUGUCAGCCUACCUGUCAAUUUAGGCACUAAUGUUAGUUGAUUAGGAGGGUUUACAAAUAAAAGUAGCCAUCCAAUAAAAAAAUAUAUUGUAACAAUCUAGUACUUUUGUUAGCCUAGUUGUCGAUUUAGACACUAAUGUUUAUUCGAAUUUGACAUAUAAUAUUAUUUAAAAUAUAUGAAUCAAAUUGAAUCUGGCACAUUAAAAAGAAAAAGAAUGGUGUCAAUAAAAUUUAGAAAUGUUAUUUUUUUUAACAGAUAAGAUCCAAUUUCUCCAUGCAACAAGUACACAUAUUUUACAAAUUGGCUCGCGUGUUUUAAUGAUGUUAUUGAAAUUGUCCAUAUAAUAAAUACACAUAUUUUAUAAUUUGAUUAACGUAUUUUAAACAUUCUUUACAUUAAUUUUGAACUGAGAAAAUGUCAUAAUUGAGGCAAUAUUGAUAUUUUUUAACUCAAUUAAAACAUUUUAAAAUUUGGAAAAAUGAUUAAGAAUAUGAGCUUAUGACUUGAGGAUGUCUAAUAUAAUUAACCCUAUAAAAUUUAUAAAAUCACAAAUAAGUCAAUGUUGUUUAAAUUCAAAUGGACCGUGAACUGGUGAGGAUAUCAGUUGAAAGAGAGGAAUUAGACCAAUUGAAUCAUUUGUUUUUUUUUUAAUAAUUUAUUUAAUUAAACUAGACAAAUUAAAAAUCGAUGAUUUGACUGGUUCAAUUAUCGAUCUAGUUUUGAAAACUUUAAAAUAAAUUGGAUUCGAAUACCUGAAUUUAAAAUACCAUUAAGAAAAAGGCAAAAAUCAAAGGAAAAUCUGAAUAAAUUCUGAUUCAUGGGAGAGGAUAGAGCUAAAAAAAAGAAAAAUCUGACCCUAUGAUUCUUUUUUCUUUUUUGCCCAAACCCACUUCCCAAACCUCAUUUGUCCUUCGAUUCCAUGGAAGGGACACUUUGAGAAUAAAAAGGGGAAAUUGUUUUUGUAUGCUGUGAAGGAAAGCACCAAAGCUCGAAAACGUCACACAUUUCACCCAAUCUUAGGCUCUUUUCUUUGUGGUUUCAAAUAACGCCAAGCCUUGCCUGACCCUGACCACAUUCAUUUCUUUUUUUUUUGUUGGGGGGAGGGGGGGGGGGGGAGAGGGUCAUGCAGGGACGAAAGCAAUGAAAAGUUAAAGCCAAUGGUGAUGGAUUAGAAUCCCAUUCCCCACCCAACAAAAACAAUUAAUAAAUAAAUAACUUUGAUCAAUUUUGAUUGUAAUAUAUUUGGAUUGAGUCCUAGCUUAAUUGGUAUGGAUAUUGUUGUCAAUGUAAGAGGAUAUGAGUUCGAGUGUGUUGAAAUGCAUUAUCUUCCUAUUUAUAGGUAGGGGUGUGCAAAUUUUGGAUAAAACCGAAUUAAUUCGGUCAGGGUCGGUUAAUAAUUUUUUGAAAGUUCGGUUCGGUUAAUUUUUUUUUUAAAUUUCGAUUUGGUUAACAGUUUAAAAGGGUCGGUUAAUUUAGUUAAUGAUAGUUCGGGUCGAUUAAUCGGUCGGUUAACCGAUUGAACACCCCUAUUUAUAGGUUGGAGUGAGGCUAUGGAUAGCUUUAGGUUUUGUGUAAAAAAGAGCACAUAUAUGAUUUGUUGGUAUGAGAUUACCUAUAGUGGUUAAAAUAUGUUCCAAAUUUUUGUAUUUUUCAUAUAUUUAAAAUUUAAAUCUAAUUAUUUACGUUGGUAAAGUUCUUCUAUUAAAUUUGUUGGUAUGACAUUCUAAAAUUAAAAGAAAAAUUACUUAGUAGUCAUACAAAAAAAAUGAAGAAAUAUUAACAUUACAAUUAGGGGUUUAAAUGACACAGUUGUACUUAUAAGCUAUUAAAGUUCGACUAUAAAAAAACUUGAAUUUGAUUUGGUAAUUAUUGGGUUCAAUUGAGUUUAAUUAUGAAAGUUCGAGCGACUUGCAAGUCUAAUUGAAUUUUCUUUUGUUUUUAGUAUAUUUUUAUAUCAUGAAAAUUCAGUUUUACCUUUAUUACUAGAAAGAGCUUAAUUGUGAAUAAGCUUGAGCUUAAAUAUGAAUAAACUUAAUCGAGUUCAAGUAACUCAAUUUUGUCUCAAGCCGAGCGCAGAAAUUGAUGCUCAAGCUCAAGCUCAAGCUUAUCACUGUUUGAGCUUGACUUGAUUCGAUUACACCCUUAGCUGUAAUAAGACUGAAUUUAGCAAAAGAAAUUUAACUGGGUUAACAAUAAGACUUACAUUUUUUAACUUGAAAGUAGAAGGAUUGAAUUCUUUAAAAUAAAAAAUAAGAAAACUAAUAUAUAAAAAUACAAGAGCUUAAAACAUAUUUUAACCAUUAUAUGUAUAUAUUUAUGUUUGAAUGUAAUGUUUGUGGACCAAACUGAAGAAUCGGAUAAAGACGGUGGAUGAGUGGGGAGGUGCGUGUGGGGGGUGACUAAAACUUCAAUGUGUGUGUCGGCUUAUAAAUCUAUAAACAUCGUCAUCCUCGUCCCCCUCUCAACAUCACCACCCCACCUUAUUUAUUUUCUUCCUAGUUUCCGCACUUCGUAAGUACAGUCACUUUGAUUCUAUGUUCUCCUUAUUAACCCCUUUCUCGUUAUUAAUCUUAUCCCAAUCCAACUUAUGAUUCUUUUUAAGGCUAAUUAUAUCAAAUGUCCUUAAAGUGUGGUUUCGAUUUUAAAUUGAUCACUGAACUUUAAAAUUCAAAGUAUUGAUAUUGUAUCAAUUAGACCCUCCCUCUCAUUGGACGUUAAAAUAUUAGCUCUAUUGAUACAGUGUAUCAACAGAGAUCAAGAUGGAGAGGGAAAUGGUGUUCUGGUAGGAAAAUAGAGUCGGACCCCCCUAAUAGAAUGUGUUUGAAAUUACCUAAAUCAUGAGUACAGGAUCCCGAAUCGAGUUAUUAUAUAUUUUAUUUUAUUAUAAUAGUUAUAACUCUUACUUUAUAAUCAUCUUUAUAUUUCAAACUUAUCACCAAAUUUAAAUCAAGUAUUUAAAGGUGAAAGCCAGCUGGAUUGAUGGAUUAACCCCUUUUUUCCCAAAAUAGGCUAACCCCAUUUUAUUUAAAAACAAUUAGGGUUCAACCAAAUGAAACUUCCAAAUCAAACAUUAGAUGAAACUAAUUCUUUUAUCUUUCUAAAGCUAAAAUCCAACAGAAAGAUGUAUGAAUAAUUCCGAAUAAAAAACAAAGGGUAAAUUACACCCAAAAGUACUAAAUUGUUAGUAAAUUUACGUUUUGGUCACUUAAUUUUAAAAAGUUACAAAAUAUCAUUGAACAGUUCAAAAGUUUUCAUUUAAGUCACCAAACUAUAAAAAUUAUUGUUAUAUGACAUUUGUUUGCACCAAUCAAAAGCUCUCCUUCUUUCCCUUCUUUUAUACAACUCAAUAUUUUUUACAUGAAACAAUUUGAACAUUAAGAUUUAGGGUUUAGGGACAAAAGGCGGGAGGAUGGCAAGGGCGUUGGCCUCUCUAAAUGAGAAAUUGCUUCUUUAGACCCCCAAAGAAGUAUAAAAUCUUAAUAUAUGACAAAAUUAUAGUUUCUCCCCAAAAUGCUAAAAUUUCAAUUUAGAUAUUUUGAAAACCAUUAAAAUAUAAGCUAAUACAAUGGUGAAAUUGUAUUUUAGUUCUCAUGUAAAUAUAUAAAUUAAUCUUGGGCUGUUAAAAAAAUUUCUAACCUUGCUCUUGUUGAACGUCAUGAAUUUACAAACUAAAAUCCAAAUAGUUUUAUCCUCCGAUCUCCAACAUUGAUCGUCAGAUUGACUUGAAAUUAAUGUAUGUUAUUUUACUUAUUAAUGAGUAUUAAUCCACUAUAUUAAUCAUCGAAUUGUCGUUCUGAGCUCGUUAACCAAAUUGAAUAAUAAUUAAAUCAACUUGGAUGUAAUUUAUUCUAAAAAUCAUUUGUCAGAAACUUCCAGAUCAAACAUUAGAUGAAACUAAAUCAUUUAUCAUUCUAAAGCUAAAAAUCCAAUAAAAAAUUUAUGAAUAAUGCCAAGUAAAUAUACAAGGAAAGAAUCUAACGGUCAUAGAUAUCCACGAAACAGAAUCCAACGGCUCUGCCAACUUGCCUAGGACCUCUCCAAUCUUCUCCUUCCGCGGAGACCCGGAGCCGCCUCUCUCUCUCACCCAAUUUCUUUGGAACCCCCAAAAACCCCACACCUCAAAUUUCCCCCAGUUUAACCAUAGUUAACUAUCCAAAUAAUAAAAAAGUAAACCAUGGUUAACCACCAACACUCUAUAUAUUCCUCUGGUUAGCUUCUCUUUUUAUUAUUGGCUUCAAUUAUUCUUUUCCUACCAGUCUUUUCAAACACCAUAAUAAACCUUCCUCAUUUCUUGUUCUUAUGCUAAGAGUACAAGGUUUAUCAAAAUGAGCUGCAAUGGCUGUAGAAUUCUUCGAAAAGGUUGCAGUGAAAAUUGUAUGCUUAGACAAAGCUUACAAUGUAUAGAGAACCCACAAGCUCAAGCACACGCCACCGUUUUUGUUGCUAAGUUCUUUGGCCGUGCCGGACUUAUGUCAUUUCUCUCCUCCGUCGCCAGUCCUCAAAGACCUGGUAAUUUUUUAAUGGCUUUUGUUGGAUUUUUGUUUUGGUUUUUGAUUUUUUUUUACUGAUGUGUGUGCAUACAUAUAUAUAUUUGCAGCUUUGUUUCAGUCGCUUUUGUUUGAAGCAGUGGGACGGGCAAUUAAUCCGGUGAGUGGAGCCGUGGGGUUGUUAUGGACAGGGAACUGGAACGUCUGUCAGUCGGCGGUACAAACGGUGCUCCAAGGCGGCACGUUGCAGCCGUUGCCUGAAUUUAGUGGUGGGGUUUCAGGAUCGGAUUUUGAGGAUGUUGGAGAAACGGUCGGUGUUGGUGGCGGCGGCGGCGCUGGGGGGCCGUGUAUCCAGUCGGGAGGUUUCGUUGACGUUGUUGAAUGUAAAGCAUCUGAUCUCAAUCUCUGCCUGAUGAUCGGCGACGAUGAUAGAGCGGUUAAAAGGAGAAGGGAAUCUACAUCGUCGGAAGAGUCCGAAACGACGACGUUGGGAAGCCGGUUUUCUGGAGAUGGUAAUAGUUCAAAUGACAGCUGCGGCGCCGACGGUGAAAGAAAGCUUUUAAGACUGUUCAUUUGAGAGUUUUUUUUUUCUUCUUCACAUUUUGUCUAUGUAAUUUUGAUUAUAAUUGAACGCCUGUAUGAGCUAUGAUCUUUUGUUUCUAUUUUCGGCUAUGAAGGAUGAAGUUCGAUCAAAUUUUAUAAAAUUUCGAAUUUCCCAUAAUUUUCGUAUUAUAAUUUUUGUUUUGCUCCUUCAUUGAUUUCCCAAAAAAUGAAAGAUGUGAGUGAGAAACGUUUAUGCCUUUUAUGGUUCAUGAGUUGCAAGUGAGUGGGCACUACUUCCUAUCGUGAAAUAUGAACAGGAGAAAUUGUAAAACUUGGGGCAAUCUUAAGGGGUGGCUUGGAACGUGAGAUUGCCCUUUGGCUACCCUAAAGAGUCAUUUUUAUUCUACUAUUUUGAAUGGCUUUAAAAGAAUAACUUUUUUCUAUCUAGUAUGAGACUCUUCGAUAUCCUAUACUUUUUGACACGAAAAUUCUUUGAAAUUUUAUAUUUAUUAAAUUCAUAUCGAAUCAAUCCAAGUAGAAAAACAUUAAACUCCUUGUUACAUUGAUUCAACAAUACUAUCAAACUUAUUUUGAUUGUAUUAAGAAUGUCUCGUACAAAACAAGGUCAAACAUUAUAGGUUCUGAUAAUAUAUAUUCUUUUUCUUCCCAAACCAAUAAAUAGGAGGAUAAUGCACUUCAGCCACUCGAACUCACGUUCUCCUACAUUGGUAAUAAUAUCCUUACUAAUCGAACUAAGACUCAACUCACACACAUAAUAACACUUAAAAUAAAAUAAAAUAUAGACUCAUAACUCAAUCAUAAUUAAAACAUGAAGAUAUUAAAAUAUGAAGGUGAACCACUUAAAAUUAACACCAUUAAACAUAAUCAUUUUGGUCUCUUUGUGAAACCACCCUUUGUUGGUUUGGGAUUUGGGGUCCAUUAUACCCAAUAUAUAUAAUAUUGGUGCUGUUAUUUUUCCCCGCAUCAUCACAGUCCACAAAUCAAAAUAAUGGAACCACCUUCCCCAUUUCUCUAUAUCCAUAUUCCAUGGCCGUCCUUUUCUUUCUUUUUUUGUUUGUCUGGAUUAUAAUGCCAAUAGGGUCCCCUUCCUAAUUUAUUUUUCAAUAACUGGAGACAAGGAUAACACGAGUUUCCCAAACUUCAUAGCCUCUCAACAAAUCUUAAAAAUUUCAUGCAAAAUAAUAUAUAUAUAUAUAUAUAGAUAAAUAUAAAAGGACCAUUGAUUUGCUUGGAUGGAGACACCCCUAUGCUGGUGUUGGAGUCUCUUAAAUCUCCACUUGCUUCCAUGUAAGAAAUUGACUUGUGUUGAGCAUCAAAUAUCUUGAAAUUCGGAUCCUGUCUGUAUUUAUAUUCUUUGGACUUUUAAGUAGGGGUUUAAUGAGAAUUUCUAAAAAUUUUGAGGGGUAAGUUAAAAUUUUUAAAGAUUUUGAAGGGGUUAAUGAAAAAAUGUUAAUUUUUUUCUCGUGUUUGAAGAAACAAGAAAUUGUUGCACAAUCCACAGUUACUGUUGCUGCAAAUAUUUGAUAGAUUUGCAUGGAAUAAGAGGAAAGCUGGACAAUCAAGUUGCAAUAUCAAUAGCUAAUAAUCCAAUAUUCCAUGGUAGAACUAAUCACUUCAAAAUAAAAUUUUACUUUCUUCGUGAUGUUCAAAGGGAAGAAGUGUAACUAGUUACAAAAAAUGAAUAUGCUGGUAUUUUCGGACAAGCAUUGCCUAAAGCCAAAUUCGAGUUCUUAAGACAAAAGCUUGGAGUUAAUUUGCAGCUCCAACAUCAAGAAAGAGUGUUAACUUUUAUGAUUUUUGAAGUUGCAUUAGUUAUAAUUUAUCUUUGUCUUUAAGCAAAUAUCAGCCCUUAUUUUUAGGCAAAUAAAAUAGUCAAAAGUCAAUUUAGAUUAUGAUUUGUAGACUUUUCUAAAUUUUAAUUUAAAAUUUUUACUGUAUAAAUAGAUAGUUUGGCAAUUCAAUAAAUAGUAUGAUUUCUACAAAUCCUUUAAAAACUUUCGAAUUCAAAAUGUUUAAAAAAUCCGAAAGCUCUAACUAAAUUUUUAAAACUUUUGGAAGCUUUAAUUAGAAAUUUUAAAAGUUUUGAAGGACCUAAUUAAAAUAUUUAAAAAAUUUGGAAGGCAUAAUGAUGUUGAAUAUGAAUAAGUAUUGUGAAUUGAAUUUUAAAUAUUUAAAUACCACAUAUUAAAUUCAACAAAAUUUCAUUAGCAAUAUUAUUAUUCACUACACCUUAAUUUUCAAAUCAAACUAGUAAAAAGAAAUUAAUUUCAAUUAAUUCCAAAUGUAUAAAAAGUACAGGGAUUAGAUACAUAAUUAAACCUAAUUAUAAAGUUUAAAAUAUGUUGAUGAUCUUCAUAAAAACUUAAAAGCAAGUUUAAGAAUCUUCUUCUCUUAUAUGUUUAUCCACAUAAACAAGUUUUUGCUGCUUUUCUUGCAUAAUUGAACAAAGAAUCAGUAUGUUUGAUUUGUUGGACAAAUUAAAAGAGAAAACCGGGCUUUUAAAUUGUAGCACAUGAUGCAAUAAAGAAACAUGUUCAAAAGGCAAAAGAUAGUAACGGAGGUGGAGGAGGUCAAAAAGAAAACAGAGCAGCCGGUAAAGGCGGCGGCAAUGGCAGGGAAACGCAGCCCGUGUUAGUGGUGGGGGCUUGGGGUUUUAAGUUCCCUAUGCGCCGUAACUUAAACGUGAGUUGUCGCUGACUGGCUACUUUGGUUGUGUAGUCAAGAUACAUUUUAAGUUGUCGCUGUCUUGUCUCCUAUUUUUCUUGCUGUUAGGUGUUCUUCUAGAAAACAAAAUAUUAUUUCUUAAGUGAGUUGCAGACUAGAAGGUUUAGGGUAAAUUAAGAGCUUUUAAAAAAUAUAUAAGUUGGUCAAUAGCUCUGCUUCAACUGGCUUACAUGUUAGAGCGACGAUUGGACAGAUUAUCAAUCACUUUAGAUGAAACGUAAUAGUUGGUGUAGUAAAUGACGAUUGUCGUGUGAGUCCCGCAUGACUUGACAUGAAGAAGUUAUUUUUCGAGAAUUUCUCCGAAAAGUUAUUACAAGAGUUGCUUGUGCUCCGCAUAUGCGAGGAGUUAUUUUAAUAGGCUCGCUCCGAGGGGUGAUUCCGAAGAACGAAAAUCUAACAGGCUUGUCUGAGAAGUAGGGGUAUAACAAUAUGCUAAGUUACUACUAUAAUAUAAUUCAUCAUUCCAAGUAAUAAUUUCAUUAGACAUUGUUGACCAAUACUUCCAAAAUUUGGAAAAGAUUGUGAGUGCGAAAAACUUGAAUCAUUAUAUUUAACAGAUAAAUUAAUAUGACACAAGAAUCAUGUCGUGUAGGAUAGGUUGAUGUUUUUGGUGGACAACAACAUAAUUCUUGUCAAGUAUCUAUAUCAUAUGUAUUGAGAGUUUGACUAAUAUCACUCAUUAAUCGAGUCUUAAUUCAGUUGUGAAUUUACUGUAUUUUUUUUAUAAAGGGUAAAUAUUAUUUUGAGAGUAAUUUCUUUUAUCUUUUUAUGUUUUUAAAACAAAAUUUAUAAAAUACACUCAAAACAUUAUGAAAUUUUUUCUCUAAAUUUUACUAUCUCUACUAAAGAUAUUUAGUAUUUAUAUCAACUUUUUUAUAAAUUUAUUAGAUAACAAUGGUUUUAGCCCAUAUCUUAGGUCAAGUGAAAUUACCAAAAAAUUACUUUUUUACAUGGCAAUAAAUAUUACUUUAAAGACAUUUUUAUAUUUUUAGAUAAAAUUUUUAAAAAUACAUAUAUAUAUAUAAAACAAUAUUAAAAUAAAAAACACCAUGACAUUCACUCCUUUUAACUUCAUCAUUUCAACAAAUUUCAUAUUUAAUUUUUAUAUUAACUUUUGAAAAUUUUAUUACAUAAUUGGUUAUGAAUUUGUUCGAAUCAUAGUUUGGUAAUAGUAUCAUUUUUUACACAUAUUUUAUUAUAUAGGUUAGCAAUAAACUAAUUUAAUUAGUAAUAUUUAAUCAUUCCGGUGACUUUUUUUUAAUGAAGAGAAAGAAAUUUUUCACUUAUUUCGAAAAAGUUUUAUUUUUUACAAGAGUUAUUACUCAUGUUUCUAAUUUUAAGUUUAAAUUUGUACUAACUAUUAAUUUAUUUUAUAUCUAUUACAUAUGUAAUAAAUAAUUUUUUCGUAUAUUAUUACACUAGUAACUAAACGAGGUAUGAUGUUAAUCUAACUCCUCCAAUAAUUUACCCUUCAUAUUUUAAAAUGAUGUUUUUUUUUUGGUAUAAUGAUUUAUUUAGCUUUCGAAGUUUAAAAAAAUUCAUUGUUCUUAAUUUAAUUUUUUGUCUCUUUUUAACCGUUGAACUUAUAAUAUUUGUCAAAUCAUUCCAAAAUUAAUGGAUAAGAUAUCCACGUGGUCCACGUGUAUUAAUAAUUAUAUAUUUUUAUAAUAUUAAUAAAUAUAUUUUUUUUAAUUUUUUUUUAAAAACGAUUAAUUAUUAACAUGACAUGCACAUGUAUGCCACAUCAAUAAAGUUGUUAGACGUUAAUUUUUUCAUUCAUUUUAAGAUAAUUUGACAAACAACACAAAUUUAAAUGCUAAAAAAUAAAAAAAUAAAAUUAUUAUUUUAUAAAAUUUAAAAAUUAAAUAAAUCGUUAUCGCUUUUUUUAUAUUAGUAUAUAUUCAUUUUACUAUUUAUAUUUUCAAAUCCAGUAAUUUCGUAAAAGAUGAAAAUGCACACUGUUCUAUAGUAUCAUAACAUUACAAGUUGCAACUGGAACAGAGCUUGCUCCACUGAAAACACCAGGGUUAUGUUGGGAAACAUUGAAUGUGGUAAUAAAAGAAAUCAUGAACUAGAAUUUUGGUAAUGUCAGCCCCUAUCAGCAUGCCUCUCGUGAUUCUCCAUGAUUCAUGAACGCAGUACGUUCAUGUCAGAUGCACGGCAUGAGAUACACGUUAAUUGUAUUAUUUUGUUAAUUAGACUAAUUUUUAACAGAAACGACUAAUUUAAUUUUUAAUAUAAUAUUUUGAGACUAAUUUGUUAUUUUUGUAUAAAUUAAAAUAAAAUAUAAUCUAAUUCCAAGACAGAAAAAGACAAAAUAAACCAUGGGUCAUAGCUUCAUGAUGAAGAAAGUUCAUUCAAUUCCAUUUGGUGCACUGAAUCUUGAUUACAAUCACACAACAUCAACGUGAAUGCAGUUAAUAUGAAUAUAAGGAUAAAAAUGGAAAUGGGGACUGUAUCUAUAAGUUGAACAAGCAUCAACAAACAUUAUACAUAGAUGAUUAAAUCAAACCAGGCCAAGAAAAUACAAUGAUAUUUUUGGUUAUUAAAAUAUUUACAUAUACAAUGCUUUUUUCCUUUGCAAGUAUGCAGAAAUCAGUUGAAAAGGAAAAGCCACAUUCUAAAAUGAGAAACCCGAACCUAACUAUAUUCGAUCCGCUCGUGUUUUGUCCAGUGACCGCAUCCAGACAUCAGAAAAAACAUUGAGUUUGAAUGUAAUGUUAGGAUUUACGGUGAGUAGUCAAAUAAAGAUCAGUUCUAUGCAUGUGUUGUCAAGCAGCCGGUAGUGGGUACACGGUUUAGUAGUAUUAUAUGUGACCUCAAGCUACAUUCGUUAACCUAAUUGAAAAAAAUGGACCUUUAAUGAUAAGCAACAAUGAGCAGAUCAAGUGCAGAAUAGUUUGGAAUGUAAAACGGAAUGUCGUAAUUACCUGGAUGGCAGCUAGCGUGGACAAAUGUUCUUUACAUUGUUCGAGCAAAAUCCUUUCGUUUGUGGCCACACUCACGAGUUCGUUCACCAAAGAAUUCAUUUCCUUCACCUGCAAAGGACAAAUGGUACUGUUAAUUUGGAAGGUUUGAUUUGCCACUUUUAUGAAAUGCAAAUUCGGGUGGAAUAUAAAUAAGCAUGAGGAUUUUCUUCUGUCCGGUGGUAUUCGUUACAGCUCUUUUUUUUUUUGGUAACGCUAACCUUUGAUGAUAAUGAGCAUAUUGAGGAUGCCAUUGCGUGCAUCACAUCAACCGCUGAACCGACGGCAUCCUUCAGAUUCUGGAUGUCUACCUAUUAAGAGAGAAAAACGGAUUGUCAUAAGAGGAAGAAUUAACAGAUUGUAUAUUCAAAUGCAGAGAAAAACGGGAAAAAGGAAGAAACUUACUAUCGCUUUUCCAACAAUUGGAAGACGAAGAGUACUGGCCUUUAAAGCUUCAGUUGCUCCUAGAAAAGAACUCGAGUGAUCUCUAUCGAGGACUGCCCACGCUUCUAAAUGAGCUAUCUACAGUCGUCAAUCGUAACAAGUUUUAGUCAUGACGAAGAGUCAAAUUUAUCCGUCUUGAUUAGGACCAACCAAUAUUCGCUAACUACUAAUGUGGUGAUAAAAGUGAACGGUGAUUGCUUCUAAAGCAUGUUUCUAAAGGGAUUGGUAAAGCCCGAGUCAAUGUAUGUAUGGUCAAGCAGCCCCCUUAAACCCUUGCAGAAAGCUUAAAAUUUCCUCGUUAUAAUACCCAAGUCCCGGUUUUGAUAAUUUCGUUCUCAUCAAAUAGUAUUUCUAAAAGUAGUGCUUUUUUACUUUCAUCAAUUGAGACCGAUGCAGCAUGUGGUUUCUUCUGGACUAAGCAAAGCAUGGAUACAGACAUAAAUAACAUGUUCUAUAUGAUAAAUACGAAGAAAGUAAAAAUAGAAGCAGUUGUAUCUAUGAAAAGAUCUACACAAUUCGAUGCUUAAAUGAAGUCGAAGUUUCGGAUCUUACUUGUCCCUUCAGGAUGGAAGUCAGUUUCAACUUUUGCCUCAGUAAUAGAAACUUCAUUCUCUUAAGAGUGAUGGAAUGCAGCAGUUCCGAUAUUGUUACCCACACAUUCCACAGAUUUUUCUGCUACAAAAGAAGGAACAUUCACCAUGAACAUACCGGACUUAUUAGAGAGCAUCACGAAAGUGAUAACCCCAAAUUCACAAAUUUAUUUUCCGAACCGGCUAUUGCAUAGAAAACCUAGCCAUUCAUGCUCAUUGUAUAGCAAAACCCUGCAGCUCAACUUUAGUACUAGCUCAUAUUAUUAGCAAGUAACGAAACUAACCAAUCAUUAAUCGCAUUUACCAUUCAAAAACAUGACCAUUAUAUGCAAGAACUAUGCUGUCACUUGCAGUACAAGUAAUCUUUAUAGUAAAAUAGUUGGGUUCGGCUUGUUUGACAAACUAUUACAAUGAAGUAAAUCGAAAAAUUCAUCAUCGAACAUCUUUGGCAACAACAAGAUGGACAAGGAGGAUUAACCAUACCUCUGCACUGAGUUCCUGCACCAUGAAAGUAGCUUCGGCCCUUGCAUUCGCGAAUCUCCAUUGCAAAUAACGGUUAUAAAGAAGUCUCAACGUGUGUGCAUCGACAAUCCGAUCCUCCCCCAUUCUCCCUCUCCGAAUAUCAGCAGAAAAGCUGAGAAUUGAAGGAGAAUUAACCGAAUUACCAAGCAUCUGACCACCACCAACUGCAUUUCUCACCCGAGCAGGACUUAGCCCCCUUAAAGGAGACGAAGCCGAAGACGUCCAAAGCUUACUAGGAGAAGCAGGUCUAGUACUACCUAAACUUUUUGGAGCACUGAUUCUAGACCCGGGGCUCGUAAACAACGGUGAACCUGGAUCCUGCAACUGCCUUAACCGGCUAUUCGUUUCUUGCCAAAACCGAGCAGAUACAAGGAUAUUAUGGGAACCAUUCCUCCCUUUGGAAACCCCAUUUCCUCCAUUGGUGCUACCAGAUGACACACUAUCAGUAUCAGAUGCAGUGAGAUCAUAAGAAACCUCAUUUACAUAAUUGGCAUCAAGCAUUAAUGAUUGUUGCAAUGACUUAACCAUCACUGCACCAGAUCCGAGCAUUUUCCUUUCACCAUAACAAUCCAAGCUCCUCGACAGCGGAUUCGAACCCGAACCCGAACCCGAAUUCGAAUUCCCUUCCCGGGUUCUCCCCGGCCAACGGUGCCGAUCCACCGGUUUUGAGUUCUCAGCGUGAUCUCUCACUGGAGUAGUUUUACGCCUCUCGGGAGUUACUGCUUUCCUAGUACAACCCACUUGGGGCUUAGCCUUACUAACCGGAAUCGAAAACGACUCACCUUGAAACGAAACGGAUAAGCUCCUCGAUGAAGUGAUUAACAUCUUGGUAGCAGCUGAUAAUUCAGUGGACACCUGGUCACCAGGCCGCCUCCGGUCCACGGAUUGAGACCGUUUAGGAAGCACCGUCGCCGUUUUAUUCCCCGUCGUCGCCACCGCUGUCGUAUUAGUAGAACGGGAAAGAAGAGGAGAAGGGAAUCUCGUCGGCAACUUGGCUGCUGCUGCCGCCGCCAUUGUUGUUGCCGCUGAAGAAGAAGGAGACAAGUACCGUGAAGGAACUUGUCUACCUCUGGGUUUUCUUUUAACGGUGGAGCCAUUAUCGUUAAGAGGAGACCAUUUUUUCGGGGUGUCUUCGUGAUGGGUACUUUCUGGGGGAGUUUGUGAAUGAGAAAAUGCAGCCACCAUCAUCAUUAGAGACUGCCAAAAAGGAAAUUAAUCUUCUCUUCUACAUUUCCUUGGAAAGAAAAUUCUCAGUAUUAACAACCAUGGGUCUUCCUUUUCAUGGCUGAUAAACCUGAAAAAUAAUCAAAAUAUACAAGAUUUUAAGCAAUUCUCACGAUAAUGGAGAAGAACCCAUAAAGGGAUUCCAAAUGAUUCUGCAUUUAAACUCCAAUAGCAGUGAAAAACCCACAAAGAUUUUCUGGGUUUUCUAAGAUACUGAAGAAAAUAGUAUGUAUGAGGUGAGAUUUGGAAGAAGAAAAACUAAAAAAAGAGUUCUUAUGAAUCUUUGGAAAGAUGUUUAGGUUAAUUAGUUAUUCAUAAAUUAUAUUUGAGUUCUAAUGAAUUGAAAGCAUUAUAAAUGAAACUUUAUGGUGUAAAAUCAUAUAGAAAUCCAUUCAGAAACUGAUUAUAAAAUAAUAAACUUGCUUCUUCUUUUUCCCUUAAUUUUUCAGAUUUCUCGAUAAAUCAAUCUCAUAACUAUUUCAGGUUAACUGUCCCCAUUCCCAUUCUUUAAAAACUUGAAUACAUUUUAUUCUUUUGAAAUUAAUUAGUAUUGGGUAUGGUAGGUACAUCAAUUGAAUACUUAUGUUUACAAUGUUUGAUGCAAUUACUUGGUUUUUGGUUUAUAUUUUAAUCGUUUAAUUUUAAAAAGUUAAAAAAUAAUUAUUAAAUUAUUUGAAAUUUUUAUUUAAAUCACCAAAUUAUUAAAAUUGUUAUUGUAUGACCUUUUUUAUUUGCACCGCAUGCACCAAUCGAAAGUUUUCAUUCCCUUUUUCUUCUAUAGUUUAGUAUUUUUUUUUUAUAAAACAAGUUUGAACGUCACGAAUCUGCAAAGCAAAAUCAAAACAGUUUUCCUCUCCGAUCUUCUGCAUUGACCACCAAAUCGACUUGGAGUUAAGGUAUGUUCUUCUAUUCGUUGAUGGGUACUUAUCCAUCGUACCGAUCGUCGAAUCAUUACUUGGAGCUCACUAGCCUGGCUUAUGAAAAAAAAAAACUCAACACUCCGGUGACUUAAAUGAAGACUCUUGAAUAGUUUAGUAACUAUUUUAUAACAUUUUGAACUUAAGUGAACCUUAACAUAUAUUUACUAAUAAUUUAAUAUUUUUGGGUGUAGUUUACCCUUACAAAAUAACAAUGUAUCAAAUAUAAAAUAGACAGAUCUCAAAAUUAUACAUGAACUUUGAUUUUGUGUAAUUAUACAGACGAAAUUUUGAUCGUGGUUCAAAUGCAUAAAUGAAACUUUGAUUUUAAUUCAAUUAUAAAUAUUUAAAGAAACGAAGAAAUCGAUAUAUUUUUAUAUUGGAUAAAUUCAAUUGUCUGUGUAUGCAAUAUAAAUAUAAAAUGAUGAUAUAUCGAUAAUUAUAUUAAAAGUUUGUAAAAAUUAUAUCAGAUUAAAAUUUCAUGUAUAAAAUUAUAUAUUAAAUUAAAAUUUAUAUAAAAUUAUAAAAUAAUGAGAAUAUAUAAUCUUAUUAUUAUAAGUAUGAAAUAGAAGAGAUAAAUGAUGAAUGCCAAUGUUAUAUUUUACAACUUUUUGUAUAAAAUCUCUAAAAGUAAAAUUAUAUGAAUAUGAAGAUGACCUUUCAAAAUUAAAUUUUUGUUUUCUUUUUUGUAGUACAAAAAUUGAGUACUUUUCAAUCACAUUAAGCAACUAUCUACUUCUUCAAUUUGAAGCAUACAUCAAUGAGGACCAUGAAUUAUUUAGGGAAAAAAUUAUAAAUAUUAAAAUUACACAUUAAUUUCAGUUUAAUGUGUAAUUUGAUAUAUAAAAUUUAAUCUGAUAUAAUUAUACACGUAAAUUUUUUUAUCAUGAUUUAUAUAUACACAAUCAAAAUUUUGUUUUGAUUUCAAAAACGUUGAUGAUGUUAUUAGCCUUUUGUGAAAAUUGAAUCAAAUUACACAAAAUCAAAGUUCAUGUAUGGCAUUACACGUUGAACUGAAAUUUUUUAUAUAGUUUUUUUAUAUUUACCCAUUAGUUAUAAAAUGUAAGUUUUGUUAUUUAAAUUUUUUUUUUACAUUCUCAUAGUUAAAUUUGGAUGAGACUGGACCUAAAUUUAAAAUAUCAUGUUUACAAGUUUGAUCUAAUUUGAACCGAAUAAACAUAGGUGAAGCUAGAAAAAAAAUUUAGGGGAGGCUAGAUUUAGGUUAUGCAUUUUUUAUGAGAGUUGAAAUGUAAUUUCAUCAUUGUAUUAAAUUAUAUUUUUCUUAAUUUUUUAAACAAUUAAAUUAAUUUUUUAUUAUUUUGGGGGUCAAAAUACAAUUUAACUAUUUAUUAACUUAUAAUUUAUAAACUUUAUAGGGCCAAAAAUGUUAUAUUCUUAUUUUAGGAGGCCCUCGCUUUGGCACCUGCCACCUCCUCAACAUCACCCCAGUCAAUGAAUAUCCUGACCAUUAAACAUGUUUAAUUUUAAAUCGAACAAUAAAUCAUAAAAAAAUAACAACUAUUUACAGUCCAAUAAAAUAUAAUUAUUAGAAUUUAAAUUUGAAAUGUAUUAAUUAAUAUCUUUUAAAAAUAAUUUUACAAACCAACUAAUUUAACCUAUGAAAAUAAAAAGCACAAAUCUUUGUAUUAAUGUUACAUUAACUUGAUUAAAAGGUUGAACAAUUUAAGCAAAGGAGGGACAUGAAUGAGCUACCCCCCAUGAAAAGAGCUUCCAAGCAGCUGAGGUUGAUGCAAGUAACUGAGCCCUUGUAUUAUUUUUUUUACUAUUGUUCACGUGUUUACAUUUGAUUGACUUAAACAGUCACGUGAGAUUUAUUUUUAAUGCAAAUGGGGGCUAACAUGAUGGAUGGAAUAAAAGUAAUGAACGUAAAGUGAUAAAAAAAAUGUAGUAAAAGGGCCAAAGUAAAAAAUUCACUAUAAUACAAGGGCUAAAAUAAGCAUUAACCCAUUUAAGAAAAAAAUUUAUUAAAAAGAAGGAAUGGGAUUGUGAUUAUUGCAAGCAAAGCUAUAACCCAUUUGUUAAUUUUAGUUUAAUAUAAGAUGGAAUGUCUCUAUUUCUCUCUCUCAAUCUCUAUUCUUCCUUCCUUCCAACUCUUUUUUUAAUUAUUUUUCCCCUUUUUUUUAAGUUUCUAAUAUGUCAACUUAUCCUUCUGUUGUCAUUUUAUAUAUAUUAAUUUUCAUUAUUCAACUUUAAAAAGUUACAAAAUAGUCACUAAAUUAUUUAAAAUUUUUUAUUUAAGUCAUUGACCUAUUAAAUUUUUUUAAAAGUUCGGCUGAUGAGCUCCAAGCGACAAUUUGACGAUUGGUAUGGUGGAUUAGUGCCCAUCGACAAUGAAGAACAUAUAUUAGAUCUAAGUUGAGCGGACGGUCAGUGUUGGAGAUCGGAGAAAAAAGUUGUUUUAAUUUGGGUUCGCAAAUUCAUGACGUUAAAGAUUGUUUCAUAAUAAUAAAAAAUAUAUACUAUAGAAGAAAAGAAGAAGGAGAACUUUCGGUUAGUGCAUGUGGUGUGAAUAGAGAAGGCUAAACAAUAACGAUUUCAAUAGUUUGAUAACUUAAACGAAAACUUUCGAAUAGUUCAGUGACCAAAAUAUACAUUCUAAUAGUUUACUAACUUUAAUUUACCCGGAAGAUAUUAAUAUAAAAAAUAUAAGUUAUAUAUAAAAUAAAUAUAUACUCCAUAUAUGUAUGAAAGUUGAAACCCAAGGAAGUGAAAAACAAUGAUAUUAGUCAACUAUAAGAAAAUAUAGGAAAGGUGGUGGGUCGUUUAUUUGAUUGUUCCACACUUGUAAUCAUAUGAAAAUGACCCAAGCAAAAUGCUUAAAUUAUUAUUUUUAUAAUUAUUUAUUAAAAAAAAUGGGUGUUAUGAUCCAUAUGUCUAAAAACAAAUAGAAGUUUCUGCUUUGCUGCUGGGUUUACAUCAAAGCCCUUUUUAUAUAAACAUUCUUUUACAUUUUUAAUUCCCUUAUAUUCUGGAAAAUAUAUGAAGUUUAUGAACUAAUAUUUUGUUAUCAUCUACUUUAAUUUGGAUAGUAACGAUGGUGGUAUCAAAUAUUAUUAGUUUUAUUCGAGAAAUUUUUGAAGUGUUAUUCACUUAGACGAAUGCUAUUAUUCCCGAUCAAGGUUUUCUUGGUAGUAUAGUUGCGCAUACUCUUAUAUGCUCACAAUUUCUUGGUAGGCUCAAGCACUCGGCUCUUGUCAAAGUAAAGACAAAGCUGUGACGGAUUAUAAUUAAAUUGGAACUAUUGAUGAAUUUUUAAAUUUAACCAUUGAAAAAAAUGAAAGGGAGGUUGCAACUGAAGAAGGGAAAGAAAAGGAAAAAAAAGGGUGAAGGCGUGAAUGAGAACACACACAUUCAUGAUUAAACCAAAUGCAUGAUUAAACUAAUUAACCAACAAUUAGACUUUCUAAUUAGAGGCUGUUAAGACUUUGUAAUUGGUCAGCUGACUUUAGCUUGCAAUUUCGUCAGCAAAUUGUUGAUGUUGUUAAGCUAUGACUUACGAAAUGAUGGUGGCUAGAUGAAGGAUGAAAACUUUUCAAACAUUGCAGCCAUGUGGCAUAGAAUAAUUGGUUUGGAAAUGAAAAAGACGUCAUCAUCCACUAAGUCAUGUUCUAAUUUGUUUGUUUAUUUUGGCGUUGUAUCAGUCUAACCAACUUUCUAAGUGAUUACAUACCUGUGAAAUGAAAAUGAUUGUUGUUGCUUUCCAACUAUGCUUCUCUUUUCCACUUUCGCCUCACGGUAUCAGAAUACAAAUUAUUCGAGUUUGAUUCGAAAAAAACUCAAAUCCCAUUCAAUAACUAUCAAACCAAGCUUAAACUAUCAUACUUGAUCUCGAGUACGCAAAUUGAUACACAAGUUUAACUAAACUCAAGUAGUUCAAUUAUGUCUCAAACAAAAUUUAAGCUUAAAAAUUAAUGUUUGAUCAAGCAUGAGCUUACAAAUAUUGAACCGAAUUUUGGCUCGAUUACAUCCUAUUAUUAUGACUCUUUUAGAGGAUCCCAAUUAAAUCUGGAGCCAAACUCAAUCAAACUCAACUCAAUUUUCUACAUUCAUCUAAAGUCUUAAAAAAAACAUUCGUCUCCACCCGAUUUAAACAAACAUGGGUUCAUUCGUUUCUUCUUUGAUCUUUCUUUCCUACCAUUCAAGCAAAACCCAAGACUAUUUUACUGAUUCCGCAUGCGCAAAAGCAUGUAUCUUAGUUUAUUUAUGCCAUUGUUCUAUGGCACCACCUGUCUUGGGAUCUAAGAUACAAAAUAAAUAACAAACAUGUUUUUAAAAAGGAUUUAAUUUAAAAAAAAAAUCAUUCAUCUUCACAUCUCAACUAAAUAAUUGUGAUUGGUUACCAACAAAUUUCACCACGUGCUUUUAAUUCGAUUUCUAACCUUUAAAAAGAGACAAUAACACAAACAAGAUUAAAGACAAAGGUUUGGUCUGAAUCAGUGUAGGAAUUUAAAGAACAUCUAAGGGAAGAAAGCCAAUUUGACAAUUAUUUGAACCAUUGUUAAGCAUAAAUUCUAUCAUGAAGAAAGGUACAGAGAGGGUACAAAAGAUAACUUGAAGAUGAAGGAACUUAAUGAAGGAAGUUGGUGAAAUAGACAAUUUGCAGAUACCCUUUUUUUGCUAGUUGUUGAACUCACUUUUAAAUCUUGUCAACUUCUAUAUAUAUAUAUGAAAACAUGACCUCAUCUCUCACUGAAUAUCACACAAAGAACUUUGUUAAGCAACAUCUUAACAGGAGAAGUUGAUAUCUUAGCUCUCUUACAAGGAGUAUUCUAUGUUUAAGACAUAUUGCCUACUGUUUAGGAAAAAAAAGGGACCAUUAUGCAUAAAUAAACUUAAAAGCUAAGUUAUGGUGCAAUAGGGUAGCAUUACAAACCUAUUAUAAACGUGCUAUAGAGGCCCACAAGUUAAGUAAACUUCUAGAUUAAAUUGGGAUUUUACAAUCCCUCUGUUCUCUAAUGAGAGACCUUGGAUGACCCAAGAGAAAAUGAUUCUAACAUGCAUGAACCAUACUAAAACCGAAUCGCCCAAAGCAAUAGCAUAUUUUACAUAAAGACUACAAUUUUGACGGUUUCAAUGAGUAACUAAUAACUGCUAAAUGCUAAUCGUUUUUCGAAUAUCAAAUGUGACAGUAAGACUUCAGAACCAUACAUUCUGUGGGUUUUAAGGAAUAAAUAAUUUAAGCCAGCAUCUUAAUUCCAUUUAGAGAACACAGGAAAUGCCAAUAACCAACAAGAUCAUCACCUUGCAAGGACAAUCAAUAAGCACACUUAACAAUAUGCAGUCACUCCAUGGACCAUACUAAUCAAACGCCUUUAACACCAUAACAAGACCAAACAAUAAGACUUCAAAACUAUAUGUACUGUGGUUUUUAAUGAAUAAACUACGUAAGCCAACAUCUAAAUCCAUUUAGAGAACACAUAAAAUGCCAAUAAUCAACAGGAUCAUCACAUUGCAUAGACAAUAAGCACACUUAACAAUAUGCAGCCAUUCCAUGGACCAUACUAAUCAAAGUCCUUUAACACCAUAGCCUAUGACCAAAUAUGACAAUAAGACUUCAGAACCAUACAUUCUGUGGUUUUUAAUGAAUAAACAAUUUAAGCCAACAUCUUAAUUCCAUUUAGAGAACACAUGAAAUGCCAAUAAUCAACAAGAUCAUCACAUUGCAAUGACAAUCAAUAAGCGCACUUAACAAUAAAGAAAAUACCAAAUUAAACCAGUAUGAUUACUUCAUUGAGGAACCACAAAGUAUUCUUAGUUCAACAAUCACUUUGGUAAUUCACCAAAACAAAACAGCAUCUUGUUCUUUCAAAUUCAAAAAAAUAAAAAUACUAACAUACUACAGAAGGCUCAUAGAGGGACAAAGUCCUUCCUACUUUACACCAUACAAAAUUCUUCAACGGUACUGCAAAGGAAAAAAAGACAAGAAAACACCCAAGUUUAAGAAACUGUUGAUAUGAACAAUUAUGAAGAUUGAAGAUUAAGAUAACGUUAACCAUCAAAAGAGUAAUACCUUGAUGAAUCCGAUUUCCUUGGCAUUGCUACGGAAGCACUGCCUGCAACACAUGAGACCGUACUUCCUGAUGAUGGCAUGGGGGUUCCCACAAACACGGCUAUCAAAACAAAACAAAACAAAACAAACAACCCUAAGUCAUUGUAACAUAAUAAAACACAACAAGACAAUAACAGAUUUGACAAAAGCCUAAGAUGCUACUACUCUCACAUUUAUUACUAAUAAUCUCGAACAAAGCAAAUUCCCAGCCACUAACACUUAUAUGCAAAAAUAAAAUUGCUACAUCGUUCGAUUAGGUAUCGAAGAAAUCAACAACCUAAAUUUUGAUUUCAUUCCGUUGUACUACUAUAUGCCUAAAAUAAAACAUCAGUCGGAAAACUAGUAAUACAUGCUAAGGAGUUAACAAAAAUAGCUCUUGGGAAUUUUGCAAUGCAAUGCAAUGCAAAAAAAAAAAACAGAGAGAGAUGAAACAGUUACCAGGCGCGAGAGCCAGGGCCGUAGGUUUGGGGGUGAGAGUUCCAGACGUUAGAGUGACCCAUGAUUGCUCUGAAAAUGCGAGAGAAAUGAGACUGGAAUUGAAAACCCUAGAUUUCACGGAGGUGUUUGGAUCAUUUAGAAAAUGAUUAUAUAUAUGCGGAGCCUAAAACCCUAGUUUCCGAAUUAAGCGGGGCCCCGAUUUGCUGACCCGUAUACAGCUGUGGGUUUGAUUGUUCCAUAAAAGCCUAUUUAGGCCCAAUAACAUCUCCUGGCCAAACUAGUUUAUAAAUGGCCCAAUAAUAUGAUUAAAUUAAAGAUGAUAUAUAAAUGAUUUAAAUUGAAGUUGCAUUUUUAAAUCGGAAAAACACAUUAUUUAAUUAAAAAACAUAGGGUAAACUAUAUUAUUAGUUACUAAAUUAUGAUUAAGUUUUAUUUUUAGUCACUUAACUAAAAAAAGUUACAAAUUGGUGACUGAAUUAUUCUAAAGUUUUCAUUUAAGUUUUUAAACCGUUAAAAUCGAUGUUAUAUGGCUUUCUCUGUUCGAAAUAACUAAACCAGUUGGAAGCUCUCUUCCCCCUUCUCAUCUACAGUUUAGUUUUUGUCAUGAAAUAACUUUGGACAUCAUGAAUAUGCAAACCGAAAUUCAAACAACUUUUUUCUCUAAUAUCUGACAUUGACCGUUAGAUCGACUUGGAUUUAAGGGAUGCUCUUCUACUCAUUGAUUGGUACUAAUCUACCGAACUGAUCGUCAAAUCGUCACUUGGAGCUCACUGACGGAACUUUUUUUAAGAAAAAGCUUAAUAGCUCAAUGACUUAGAUAAAAACUUUUGUAUAGUUUAGUGACUUAAAUGAAAACUUUUGAAUGGUUUAGUGAUCAAGUUGUAACUUUUUUUAGUUAAAUGAUCAAAAUGAAAAUUUAACCAUAAUUUAGUGACUAAGGGUAGAAUGUACCCAAAAAUAAAAGCAUGGAACUAAAUUGAAGGAUAUUUUAACCCUAAAAGACUCGUCUUUUGCUGGCAGGCUUCAUGGCGAACCGAGCGGGCUCUUCAUCGUCACGCCUGGUAACCAUUGAUUUCAUCACUAAUUGAUCUCUAAAUACAGCUUCACUUGAAAAAUAACCAUCGACACAUUUGUUCUUUAACACUUCUGCAACUAUUCUGCUACUGAAUUUUCUUGAGCAUUCCAUUUCCCAGUAGUUUCUUCCAUUUUCACUAGUUUUUUUUUUUAAUUCAUUUGCGUUUUCAGGAAACCCUUCACGAAGAAGAUGAUUACGACUCAUACGGCGCCGAAUCAGGAUGGGUGGAAGCUAAAACGCACUGUGAUCACUUGCCUUCCCUAUCUUCUGAUCUCACUCACAUUCCAAUCCCUAGCACUCCCUGCAGCAGGUCAUUAUCCCCUAUGUUUUUUGAAUUCUAUAAUUCUUGUUAAACUUCUUUAAUUCAUGUCCUUGUUUGGUUGAUUAUUUUGAUACUUCUAAUAAAAAAUUGGGUUUAGACAUUUAGUUUUGUAACAUAUUUGCAGUUAAUUUUUUGGCUUAAUUGCCUAUACCUGAAGUGAUCUUCUGAUUCAUAUUGAGGGACUAUUAAUAAUUGGCGAAUCUAGGAAUACAUGGUUAAGGGGAUCCAAGAUUAAAUUAUAAAUUUUUGUGUUAAAUUGAAUCAUUAAGCUUUUAGAAUAGCUAAAAUGCAAUUUUUAUAUUUUAAUCAAGGGAGGCUAAGGUCCUGCCUAUGGCAUGUAAAUGAGAUACCAGUGCUUAUAAGGGAUUCGAGUUCAACUUGAAAAUUUUGAAUUCAAUUUGGUAUUUAUAGAGUGAGCUCAAGCUUGCUAUCAAUCAAGCCAGCAAAAUUUGAGCAUUUUAAUACUCAAUUCAAAUGGAUCAUGAGCCUAAUCGAGUUUUCUUUUUUAGUACAUUUUUAUAUUAUCAUGUAGAAAGAGCUUAACUCCGAACAAGCUUAAUCAAGCUAGAGUUCGAGCUUGAAUACGAAAAUUGAUCAACAAGCUUAGUUUAAGCUCAAGCUUGAGUUUAGAAAUUCAUGUUCAAGUUGAGCUUGAGACAAGUAUUGAGUCCUGAACUUUGAGUCGAGUUUGAGCUUGAACUUGUCACUAAUCGAGUUCUGCUUGACUCGAUUACACCUGUAGGCCCCUGCUUGCCCUCCUUUGCAUCCACCUCUGCUAUUAGUAUUUUAAGUAAUUGAGCUACUAAAACAUCUCUGAAGUUUGCAUUUUUAGGAUUCUUUAAUGUAGAUUUUUAGGGCAAGAUCAUACGAAUUCAUUAUCCUAAUCUUACAAAACAUUUUAUGCAUACAAGGUGCCAGCACCCAAGUGAGAAUUGGUUAUGCUUGUCCUGCAAAGUUGUGCUUUGUAGCCGUUUUGUGAAUAAGCAUAUGCUUGAGCAUUAUCAGCAAACAACCCAUUCCAUAGCGCUCAGUUUUAGGUAUGUAGUUAUAAUUGCCUUCUUUUUUAACUUCCCAUUUUGCUAUAUAUUUGUUGCUCGAGAAAGAGAAAGUAUCUACGGAAGUUUUUCUCGGUAACUUCUUUUUUCUUGGUUGUGUGAAUCCAGUGACCUGUCAGUUUGGUGUUUUGCUUGUGAUUCUUAUCUCGAUGCUCAAUUGAUUCAGCAACUGCGACCUUUUCAUGAGACAGCUUACAUAUUGAAAUUUGGUCAAGCCCCUCCUUUUCGGUCUGUUGAAUCUUCUCGGGUGGAAGAUAAACCGGCCAUGGAUGUGCCAUCAAGCAGUUGAAUCUGGUAUGGUUUUUAGACCGAAGGGCUGUAAUGGCAAAAGAAGGCUAGUUUGGAAUUGAAUCAAACAAUAAAUUAGUUGAAUUUAAUUAUAUGAGUUCUGUUCUAUGCAUACUGAUGGCUAGAAAUAGAUGGCUUUUUCAGGUUCAUAUUGCCUCUUCCAAAUACAAAACCACAUAUAUUUACUCAGUCUAGGUUAAGGCAGAGAAAAUUUUGCAUACCUUAUUCAGCUGUUGAGAUCUUGCUGCCCUUAUGAAUUGUUUCAAUCUCAACACAUUUAAUAAUUUACACAAACAUUUGAUCUUCUGCCCAUAUAAAUUUACUCAGUCUAGGUUUUUAUCUGAAUUGUUCUUUGAUAUUGAAUAAGUCUUCAUUAGACGACCAGGCAUUCUGUUACACAGAAUUUGCUGCCAUGUCAUAGACCUUGUAUUACUAAGGUAACCUGUGUGUUUCGGUUGUCGAGCAUUUGUUCAAGUUUCACUAAUGCACCUGCAUUCGUGUAGACGGAUUAUUUUCCGAUAGGGUAGUGAGUUCCCUCGGAAUGGAUCCCUGUUAGAUUUUUGUUUAGAUGAUUGUCUGAUAGAUUCGAGCACGACAACUUAUCGAUGUUUAAGUUAGGGGAAUCUCAGUGACUUAUGUGAAAGAUACAAAUCCAUGAUUGAACACAAACAUUAAGUUUGCACGAAAAAAAUCAGCUAGUGAGUUUUUUACAGGCUUGUGAAAGAGAAUUUAAGAUAAAUUAUAGAGUACCAAGAUACAACAUAGAUAGAUGAUAUGCAUUACAAGCUGUCUUGACAUCUCCGUUCUUUCUGUGGAGUUUCGAUGUUUAUUUUUUAAGAUGAGGAAAGCACGCGUACACGUCGGACUUUGGAUGCUUCGCCUCAGCGUGCUCCCGGCAUUUCACUUCCGUUGUGGUACACAUGAAUGUUUGCAUACACACCUUGCACUGUUUUCAGGCACCAUCAUAAACCAGUUAUGUUAUCAGAGGAAACCCAAGCAAAGGACGACAAUGAUAUGAACAAGAAACCAAAACCCGAGUCAUGUAUCUGAUAAUGUAGUUCAAUGUGUCUAAAUUCAUUUUGACAGUAUCAACUAGUGAUGUAACAUGAUGAAUGUUCGAAGUUAAGAAAUGUUAUUUCUGGAAUUCUCAAGUGCAUUUAUUACCAAAUUCCACUCAAACAGAACACUAGAAAGGCAGUUUUUGCAAUCAAUGAUUACUUAUAAGAAUUUUAGGAAGGCUCAGACAAUCAUACAAAUUCUUCUCAUCAAUAUUUGUAACUUGAGAAAGUUCAUGCAAGAGAAGCUUAAAUUCAAGUAUUGUGUCUGCUCGUGGUUUUCUUCAAUGGAAGAUGUAGAGAAAAGGCCAAUUCCUCCCUAAAAUGUCUUCCAAGUGUCAUCUGUUGGGAGUCGAUAAAUCCCUCAACAGGUAGGUAUUGCCCUCGGUUGGAAUUUGUCUCCCAACUCUAACGAGAGAUCAAGUGCUUGAGGCAAUGGUUCAUAGAGCGGGAGUAACUUUUCUUCUAAGUGGCAUACACCACGCACGGUCCAUCUCAACGAGGUGCUCCAGCUGUGUGAACCUAUCACCUCAAGCAUUCAAGCUCUCGACUUUCCGAAGACAAACUCUUAUCACUUUGAAGACUUCGGUCUCCCUCGACAAAACAAAAUAAUGACCAAAAGUCUACUGACAAUGAACAAUUGACAAGCGAAAAACACUCUCAAAUCGUAAUUCGCGCGUAGGAACUACGCAAUAAGUUCCCAUGAAACCAUACAAAGCUUUAAUCCAAGAAUCUCUCUCAAGAAUUUCAACAAACACUCUCUUCAAAAUACAUCACAACAAAAAUAGUCAAACUACAAACACAGAAAACUAGCGAAGGAAAUCCCAACUUUUUCAAAGGAAGAUAAACAAAUAAAUCAUAAACCACUGGACAAAAACAACAGAUCAAGCAAAGUAUAGUUUUAAAAUCAAAGAAAGAAAUGAAAACCAGAGCAUCCAAAGAUACUACCUGGAUGGACAUGGCCUUCUUGUUAGACUCAAGCUGGCUUCCUAUCAAAAAACCAAAGCUUAAAGAUCAAUGAUGGAUCUAACUAAAAAGAUGGUCUAAAAAAAACAGACCCAAAGAUUAGCAAAGAGAUGGAGAAAGAAAGAAAAAGUGGAAAGGAAGGAUUUGGGGAGCACCUUUGCCAGCAGCUUUUUGCUUUUCCAAGUUCUUCUCACGGGCCAUCUUGGAUUUUUGGCCAUUUCCUCCUCCCAUGGUGGAUUGAUGAGGGAAAAAAAGAAGGGUUUUUUGAUCGAAUUGGAAGUGAAAACUUGGAAGAGGGAACUAUCAGAGAUGAUUAAGGCAAAAUAAGGGAAAUGGGGGGCAGAAUAGAGACAAGACUAUGAACCACAAAGAAAGUAGAUUCGAAUAAAGUAAUGCAAGUGGGGCCAAAAGGAUAAAGGCUGGAAAUCGCCGAUAAAGGAAAACGCCAACUAGUUGAAUUUAGGUACAUCAGUCAGAUCUGUUACUGUUCUAUAUAUCACCCGAUUGUGAGGUGGAAUUACAGGGUAUUAUGGGGGAGUUUGGGUUCCGAGCGAGUUUAUUUAAGGUAUUUAGAUUAAUUAUUUAAGUUCGAAUUUAGUCAAAAAAUAAUUUUUUUUAUCUAAAUUUAAUCUAAUUUAAAAAAAAAUUAGAUCUAAUUUGAUCCGUAUAUAUUUAAUUUUUUUAAGUUACUUUUGUUAUACAAUUAUAAUAAAAUAUAUAAUAAUUCAGCCUGAAGUCCGACCCGAUAAAUCUCUCUCUAUAUAUAUAUUUAAAGAUUCUCUUUGAGAGGAGGGUACUUCAUACACUCUUUUUCUUUUAUCUUCUUCUUCUCUAUUGCUUCACCAGAAUGUCUUUCCCUUCUUUUUCCACGUACUAAGAAUGAUAAAAUAAAAAUUUUUUAACACAUUAAAAAUUAUUUAUAUUAAAAAAACACUAUCUUAAAUAUAAUAAAUAUUUUUUAUAUUAAAAAACAUAAAUAAAAAUAUUAAAUAUUUUAUUGUAUUAAAUAUAAAUUUUAAAAUUUUAUAUUUUGGUUUAGGUUAUUUAGUUGAAUAAGUUUUUUUAAAAGUUUUGAGUAAUGAGUUUAAUUGUUAUUGGGUUAAUGAUUUAAUAUAAGUAUAAAUAUAUAUAAUUAUUAUUUAACAUAUAUAUAAUUAAUAUAAUAUUAUUUUAUAACAUAAUAUUCGGGCUGAAUCGAGCUCGGGCCAAGAAAAUCUUACUAAAAGCUCAAAUCAUAUAGAAAAUAGACCUUAAUUUUACCUAAGCUCAUUUUUUGGGUGGAUCUUGAGGCUUGGGCUAGCGGUCCAGCCCAUGAGUAGGUCUAGGUGGAAUAAUAAAUAAAUAUUUAAUGUUUGAAUUUAUUUUUUAGUAAAUAAGUACCGUUAAACAAUAUUUUUUAAAUUGAAUUGGUGGUCGAACCGGUUAGGCCAUCAAUUCACUGGUCCAAUCGAUUUAAUUAAAAAAUUAUUAAUUAAAAAUUUUUUUCUAUUCAACUGAUUUAAUCGUUGAUUAACGAUUCAACUGAUUUUUUACUUAAUUUAUACUGAUUCUUAUAUACAAAAAAAUAUAAAAAAUAGUUAUAAUAUUAUAAAAUUUAUAAUUUUAAUCAAGAUAUGUAAAUUUAAAAGAGGGGUAUUUUGAUAGUUUUUAGGGGUGGGCCGAUGCAGGCUUGAUCAAAACUGAGAUCAAUUUCAUCCUGACCCAAAACUCGAUUUUCUUUUCAAUUUCAUCCCCUCUCUAACCAAAUCGGGUUGAAAUCCAAUAGAUUUGGGUUAAUUUGCUAGUCAUCAAUUAUUGCUUGGACCCUGUCAACUCUAAGAUCAACUGGAUCUUCAUCAAUUGCCCUCAAACAUUUUACAUGAAUGUUUCCAAAAAAUAAUAGCAAUUGGAAUUGAAAAAUUAUUUUUGUGUCGUUUUAGUUCGAUUGGUAUCGGUAUUAUUGUCAGUGCAGGAGGAUGUGGGUUCAAGUGCGUUGAAAUGUAUUAUCCUCCUAUUUAAGGGUUGAGAAUGGGCUAUGGGUAGUUUUAGACUUAUUAUAUCAAAAAGAGCAAAUAUGAUUAAUGUUAAAAAAUAGACCCUAAAAACUUGACCAUUUUUUUCUCUUCUUUUUUACUUGAGAAUAUUACGGGUAAAUUUCAAUUCCAAUCCUUCUAUUUUUUAAUUACAAAAAAUGGUUAAAUUUUAAUCUGAUCCCUAUAUUUCACUCAAUUUUGAGAUUUAAUUUAUAUAUUUUAAAAUUGACAUGACUUGAUAUCUCAACUUUUAUAAUGUCAUUGGUUAGUCUAAAUAUUUUUUUCUCGUUAAAACAAUGGUGUGAAUUUUUAAGAAUUGUUAGCACCAUGAAAAAUCUUUGUUAAAUUCGGGUUUAUUACAAUGUUAUUUUUUUGUUAUGUGGAUACCAAUUUAUUUUAUUUUAUUUUUUUGAAAAUGCCACACCAACACAAUAAUUAAGACAAUGUUAACAAAUAGACCUAAAUUUUUAAAUUUGAAAAGUAAAGAGACUAAAUUUUUUAAAAUAAAAAUUUAGAGAUUAAAUUCUAAAUAUACGAAUAAUACAAAAAUUUCAAACAAAUUAUAAUUUUUAAAUUUUUACACUAUAAAUUAAUUAAUAAUUAAUUAAUAAACUCAACAAAAAUUGUGGGUGAAACCAUACUAGUAAGUAGUAACUAUACAUAAAAUGUAUUGGACUUGCUGCCACGUGUCACACCCAACUAUAUUCAUUUUCUAUUCUUUUUGCAUUUUUACCAAAAACUGUUAAAUUUCAGCUUUGGUCCCUUUAAUAGGCCUAAAUUUGAGAUUUAAUCUAUAUACGUUAAUUUCUAAAAUAAUAUGUCCCUUAUAGUUUUAUAAUGUUAUUAUUUAGUACAAAUAGUUAAUAUUGUUUACUUUUUUAUUAAAACAUUAUGUGGUUAUAUAUAAAUUGAAUACCCUAAGUCUUAGAGACUAACUUGUGGCUUCCCAAAAUAUUUGCGUUAUUUUUUCUUUUUUACAUUAUAAGACAAUGGUCAAAUUUUAAUUUUAACCCUAAACUGUAUUGAAACUUGAGAUUUAAUCUAUAUACUUUAUUUAUCUUUUACAUAAUUCGGUCCCUCUAAUUUUAUAAAGUCAUUAGUUUGUCUAAAUAGUUAAUAUUGGUCAACUAUUUCAAUCAAAAUGUUGGCGUCAAUCUAGAAAAAAAUAUUUCAUCAUGACGAUUUUGAAUGGGUAUUUUUAAGAAAAAUUGUAAUAAAUAUUUUCAAUGUUUUUUUUAAUAUAUGGCUACGAAGUGAAUAUAUAUUUUUUAAUUUCAAAAUGUCAUACUUGAGAAUUAAUAAAAGAAAUUUAACGAUGGUAUCAAUUGGACCUGGAAUUUUAAAUCCAAAAAGUAGAUUAGUAUAUUCUCAAAAAUAAAAGUAAGGGGACUAAAUUCCAAAUGUAUGAAGUGUAUAGGGACUUGGAGAAUAUUUUAACAUUUGAAUUUUUUACUUUAUAAUUUGACAUAAACAAAUAAUCAACCCAACACGAAGUGUGGGCUAGGAACCACGCUAGUUUAUAUUGAAUUUUAAGUUCAAGAUAAGUACAACAAAAUUACCUCUAACAUGGUCAAAGACGAAACCAAAAUAAUGUUGAUAAUUAAGAAAUAAAGAAAUAUAUAAUUGUUGAAGGGGUAUCGACUUCUUCCAGAGAUGUCUUCAAUAUGCCGUCCUCUAAGCAACCGACUGAAGCCCCCAACAACCAAAGGUAUUGUCCUUGGGAGAGAGUAUUGUCCCCAGCCUCCGCGAAGAGCCAAUGUGCCGUGAGUGGCUACCCUGAAAGUCUACUUCAUACAUGGGUGCCUCGAUUAUACGUAGACAUAUGACCACUCAUUGAGAGGCAAUGAAAGCAUCUCGCCCUUGGUGGAGUUUAAACCCCUCACCAAUAACAUAUAAGUCACUUAUUGGGGUAUAUCUGACCCAUAUAGAUCACAAUGACAAUCUUUUUUAAUUCAUUUUCUUCUUCUUCUUCUUUAUCAAGCACCGUCAAUUUUAUUUUCUAUCCACAUUUUCGCUGUCAAUUUUUUUAUUCUAUUUUUUCAUUUAACUAAACGUACCUUAAAUGUCAGUUUGAAUAUGACGCGGAGCACGUGUAAAAUACAUGAAUCAAAUUGUAAUUAAAGACAUGUUUAUAAUGUAUUUGUCACAUAAAUAACUUGAAUUUGACAUGUUAAAAGAAACAUAUAGCAUCAUUAAUAGGGGUGAAUUUAGAAAUUUUCUAAACAUUGGAAUUGAAUUAUAAAAUUUUUGAGAGUUCAAAGUGUAAUUUUAUAAUGUAUUAACUUAUAAUUUCAUCAUUUUAAAAAAAUACAUUUUUUUAGAGAUGUAAAGCAUAAUUUUAUCAUUACAAAAUUUUAAUUUAAUCAUUUAUAAUAAAACUAUAAAGAAACUUCUUAGGGGUGGGUUUCAAAGCCCACAUAUCCCCCACAUUGUAUUAUCCUCUUAACGUCCAAUGAAUGUCCGAAAUUAACCUAUAUUAUUUUUUUGGUAAAAAAGUAGCAGAAAUCAGCUACAUCAACAUAGUUCUAAUGAGAAUUUCCCAUGGUUUCGAUUUGCUGAAGAUCAGCUAACAACAAUCCUCUAAUAUUCAUUGGAGGCUAUUUAAAAGUGCAAAUCAUAUUUAAAUCUUCAGCAUCCAUCUUCGCCAAGUAAUCCACAACCUUAUUUUGUUCCAUUGGAAUAUGUCGAAAUUAAUAGCUAAAUUGAUGGAAGGAGCUAAUUAUAUGAAACCAUAUUUUGAAGACUUAAUCAAAAUUCUUUGAAGAUUAGGACCAAAUUAAAAUCUAAAUUAUAAAUUGAGAACCACUGCUGCAAUUAAUCUAAAGAGUAUCAUAUAAAGCCAAAUUUGGCGUUAAAACUUUAAAUUUUCUAUUUAUUUAUCAGUUUCCCACCGUACAAGUUUUUUCCCGCGUUUCUUCGAAGGUUUCUAAUAACUUCUAUUGGUUUCCAUUUCUUAAUCCAAAAUAUAAUUUACAAAGUAUGAAGUUAAUUAUUUUUGUAAAAAAUGGAAGCUUAGUUUGCAAAUCAGAUCAAAACAUUCGGGAUUUUAGCCAUUUUUUCAGGUGAAUUACGAGCGCAUCGGAGUUAUUCUACACUCGAAGGUCGAGUGGGCCGACGACCCGACCCGCAUUCAGGAUUUGGGUCCUUAAUUGAUCGGAAUUACAAUCGCGCCGGAAAUCAUUUCAGUCACCAUAAUCGGAGGCUUGAUUUGGACGGCCGUGAUCCUCUCCGCCGUAUUCUCUACGCUCACGUGGCUUCUCCCUUUCCCUACGCUCAUUGCACAUAAUGUUUUUUUUUCGUUUGGUUGCUUAGAAAAGAAAAACGGAAAAAGGAAAAAAAUAAGUAUACGAAUUAAUAGAUGUUCUUGGAAGUGAAAAUAGAUUGAAUUUUCAUUUUGUUGAAAUAAAUUUUGAUUAAUUAAUUUAUUUUGCUUUGAAAAUCAGUAGCUUAAAGAUAAAUCUAUUAGUUGAAUUACUGAAAGUAGUUAUGAAAUGUAAAAUUUUCUCGAUAAUUUAUCUGAGUUCUGAGCCCUAAGCUAAAUUGCUGUAAAUUUCAUCCAAUAACAUAUAAUAUGUAUACAGAUAGAUAAGAUUGCUUGAUAUUGCAUUACCUUGUGAUUUGCUUUUACUUUGGGGAAAUUACUUAACAGUUAAGUGCAUUGAGCUAGUGUUGCUAGUACCUCUUCUUCAGUAAUGAAUAUUUUGAGUGUCUUUCAGAGAAAUGCUAUAAUGAAUUUGGCUUUGUCAUGCAGCAACCAGUUUGUGUAAGUAGUUCAAGUAGGCCACGUUUAAGUUCGAACUAGCGACUUCCCGGAGUUUUGCUGCGAGUAAGAGGCGCGUCCAUUUCUUCAAACAGGUUGGUGCUUAGAGCUCUCUGCAAGUUUCAAAUUCAUAGCACUUGCAUUGGUUGUAUUUACUGUGAUUAUUUACCUUGUCAAGUAGAGCUAGUAAUUCUGCAAGUUCAUAGCAUUUGCAUUAAUGCACUUAUGGCACUUUUAGUGCUUUUGCUGCACUAGUUGGACUAAAAAUAUAUCCACCAUUCUUGCUUUGACACCAAUUUCCAUUCAACCCGUUUAAAUUCUCGAAGGACAGCAUAUCUAUAACUUUCUCAACUCUACUAGAAUCCAAAUCAUGAUUUUGCUUUUUUGUUCUACUUUUAUUUCGUGGAUAUGUUGAGUGGUGCAAAAUGAUCAAAAGGGGGGCAACUAUUAAACUAUCAACUUGUGUCAUAAUCUGUAUAGGACGAUUCAGUGUCAUAUAUGGUUGAUUGUGAUCCAUUAUUGUUGCUGCAUCCAUAAAAUGAAAUUGUGGGUCUGACUGGGUUUAGCAAUAAGGAAAAGAGGUACCAUGUGAUCUUUUAGGAAGAUAGAUGGCUUGGGUUAUCACCGGUUUAUGCAUAGAUCAAUUUCAUAGGAGUAACCUAAAAUGCACUCUGAUGCAGCAAUUUGUCGGUUGCAUUGUCACUAGUGUAUUCAAUUUUCAAUAAUUGUUUUGGCGCUUGAUACCCUAGCUAUUUUUUUAUAGAAUUGCCUGCUAUAAUCAUCAUGUUUCAACAGACUUUUUUUUGUCCCUCUUUAGACAUUAGAUAUUCUGGUAAAAUUUUGCUAUUAGUCCAUAUACUAUGCACAAGUUGCAAAUUUUUGUACUUAUACUCUAAUUUGGUUAUUUUUAGUCUUUGUACUUUUCAAAUUUUGAAAAUUUAGUCCUGAACAAUGGCUGACAAAUUCAUUAAGUUAAAAUUUGUUAUUUCCAACAUCUUAUGCCACAAACAUAUUAUCACAUUUGUAAUUCUAUGUUAACUUGCUAUUUUCACAUAAUACUUCAAGAAAAUCGUUUCAUAUUAGUUAAUAAAUUUAAUAGCUCUUGUUUGAGUCAAGAUCGAAAUUUUAAAAUUUGAAAAAUAUAAAGAUUAAAAAUGAUCAAUUUGAAGGACGUGGAUUAAAUCCACAAUUUAACGCCAUAGUAUGGAACUAAUAGCAGAAAUUUUAGAGUACAUAGACUAAAACCUGCAACUUACAUAUAGAACAUGGACCAAUAGCAGAAUUUGACCACUUAUUUAUAUUCUUGAACAGAUUAAAUUCACUCUUUUUAUGCUCAAAAAAAAUCUGUCAUUACUUUGAGCCUACUUCUGUUAAUGCAUUAAAUCAGAUAUUUCUUUUGCUACUCCCCAGCUAUUAGUAGUACCAUAAUUUCCAGGCCCACUGCUGCUUGACUUGCAUCACUAACAACCAAAACGGUCCAGUCCCACUGCCGGUGUGCUUCCCAUGUAGUAUAUUAUUGUUAUUUACAUCACUUUCCACUACCACUAUUACCCAGCUAACUUCCUAGUAAAUUAGCAUUUCUAACCAUGUGGACCACUAGAACUUGUGGCACUCAGUAAUGAAGAUAUUUAUGUUUCUGUCUUUCAUUACGCAGUGGACUACUUCAAGGUCCGAACUGCGGUUUAAACAUUUUAUACUUUUUUUCCCUUUUUCGUUUUCUAAUUUACUUAUUUUGUCCUUGUUUUAAUUUUUUGAAUUUUCUUUUGACUGAAUCAGAAAUCAGUAUUUUGAUUGAUUUGAACGUCGAUUUAAUUUUUGUGACACAGCUAUCAUGUAGGCAGAGGUUUCGUUCACUAGACUUGCUUAGAUCUUGGGUUAGAGCUUGUGGGAACUGACCUUACUAUAGAAAAAGCAUAUACUAUCUCUAUUAUGUACCCAGUUGCAAGGUAUUUGAAUUAAAUCCCACUUAAAAAGUAUGAGAUUUUUAGUGAAAUUUAUAUGAACCAUGUUUGUCUCAACUUCAACAACUAGCUUUUGAGGUAUAAUUCUCCAUUGAUCUAUUUUUGUUAGUGCUUCAGUUUCCUUAACAUUGAUAGCGUGUGAACUUUAAAAUGUAAAGUAUCUAUCGGUUUCAAUGUCCCUUUCCUUGCUUGACCAACCUGCCCUACUUGUUUUCCAAAAUGGACUGAAACCAAAUUGUUUUAUGUUGUUGUCAGCUACAGUAUUGGUACUCACCAUGCUCAGAGUCUCAACCUCUAUGUUAAAACCUUUUUCCUUGAAAUUUCCUAGGCAAUUUUGGACACAUAACAUACAUAAAAAACAAUACAAAUAUAUAAUAUUAAUAUAAAAGUAUGUCAAUAGUAAGUUUAAGGUUAAAAUAUAUCAUAAGUCCUCAUGUUUUUCAAAAAUCUAAAAUUUAAUCUUUGUAUUUUGUUAAAUUUAGAUUUAUUAUAAUGUCUUUUUUUUAGUUACAUAGCUAUCAAAUGGAUAUUUUUUUAUUUUAAAAUAUUAUACUAAUAAAUUUAAUAAAAAAAUUUAACUAUAUUAAUAAUUAAAUCUGAAUCUUAAAAUAAAAAAAGUGAUACAAUUACUGAAAUAGGGAUUAAAUUCUAAAUUAGGUAGAAAGAAUUUACCUAAUCUGAUAUGACAUUUAUCAUGAUUUGAAAGUUUUGUAUUAAAAUGCCAAUUUCCCCACACGAGAAAUGUCACAUGUAUCACAACUUGUUAGGAUCAUUAUUUAUAAUAAACAUAAAAGCAGAUGUAAAUCAUAUCCCUCAUUUGACUCUCUAGAGGCAAAAAGAGGGAAGCAUAUUAUACUCCACUUAAUACAUUGAACAUAUACUCUUCCUUUUUCAAUUGUAUAAAAUAUUCAUUUAAGAUAAUCUUUAUCAUGAAGAAAGCUAAAAAGAAACUUAAAGGAAAAAAUGAAAAAAAGGGGAAAAUGAAAGUUUAAGUUUUACAGAAGAUCCUUAUACUAUGAAUUUUUUGUAUAUCUAGUCCUAUAUAAUUUAAUAUUUCUACUCCUAUUUUACCAAACAGGUAUUUUUAGUUUGGAUGUCAACUUUUUCUUCUAAUUUUGCUAAAUAUUAUAAUAGGAUAUAGCACUUGACUGUACAUCUACAUUUUGUACAAUUAGAUAUUAUUUUUGUAUAUUUAGAAAAAGAAUAAAAUUAUAAUAAAGUGUAUAAAAAAAUGCAAAAGUGAUAAUGUAUUUAAAUAUUAAGGUAAAAUUAAUCUCAAGUUAGACCCAUGACAACCCACUACCUCUACCCCUAUAAGCAUUACAAAAAAGUGAUUGAGGGUUAAAAAUUAUCAAAGUAUAGAAAAAGGACUAAAUCCGAAAAAAUGAAAAAUGCAGAGUCCUUUAUGAAAUUUUACCAAAAUGAAAACGGAAACUUAAACGCGGAGAGUACAGCAGUAUUCGGGUCUUUGGUCAUCUUCCUCUUCACGCGGCAUCUUCCUCUUUAAUCGCCAUUUUCGCUUUCUCUCUCAUUAUAUAUCUUUAAAAACCAUUCUUCAACCUAACAAAAAAAACCACAGCAACAAAAAAGAAAACCAUACAAACAAAUCCUAAAAGACUCUCUUUACAACGUAAAGAGCAAAAACCCCAACAGCAAAACGUGUAGUAAUAAGGCAAAAACACGGUAGGGAAGGAAGGUUGUUAAUAUAUACAUAUAAAAGUUAUAACGGAAGAAAGGUCGAACGAUUCAAAAAAACCCAACGAUGGCUAUGAUGUUACGGUCGCUCGCUAGGCCGCUUGAACGUUGCCUUGGGUUAAGGGCCGGUGGGGAUGGUCUCAUGUGGCACACUGAUCUUAAACCUCAUGCUUCGGGCGAGUACUCAAUCGCCGUCGUUCAAGCCAAUAAAAACCUUGAAGAUCAAGGCCAAGUCUUUACAUCUCCUUUAGGUACCUAUGUUGGUGUUUAUGAUGGUCAUGGCGGACCCGAAGCUUCCAGAUUUGUAAACAAGCAUCUUUUCCCAUUUCUCCACAGUAAUUGUUCUUUGACCCUUUUAAUCUUUUUCUUAAUUAUUUUUCUGGGUUUUUUUUUAGAUUAUCUGAAAUGGGGUUUUCUUUGCGUCUAAUUUUUCAAGAUUCAAAUAUUCUUUUGUGUUUUAAUGGUCAAAGAGAAUUUUGGGUUUUUGUCAGUUAAUGAUAUUUUGAACAACUUACAAAGUGUCUAUCAUGCACGUUUAUUUAGUUAUUAUUUGUGUAUCUGAAUGAAUAUGAAUUACUUUGUCUAAAUAUAAAUCUUUAUGCGUUUGAAAUUGGAAUUUGGUUCUCAAGAUUCUAAAACCAUUCAGUUUAAUUUCAAUUUUUGGCACCUUUCACCUCCUUGCUUUAUUGGGUUUUGUCAGUGAAUGGUUGUGUUCUUGUUUUAAUUUUUCUGUCUUAAUUGUAGAAUUUGCUACAGAGCAAGGGGGAUUAUCUGCAGACGUGAUAAAGAAGGCGUUCAAUGCUACUGAAGAAGAGUUUUUACAUUUGGUGAAGCAAUCAUUGCCCGUAAGGCCUCAAAUUGCUUCAGUUGGAUCAUGUUGCCUUGUUGGUGCGAUAUCCAACGAUGUGUUGUAUGUGGCGAAUCUCGGCGACUCGAGAGCAGUUCUUGGCAAAAGAGUUUCGGAGGAUAAGAAAAACAAGGUUGUGGCAGAGAGGCUAUCAACAGAUCACAAUGUUGGAGUUGAGGAAGUGAGGAAAGAGGUUGAGGCUCUUCAUCCUGAUGAUUCGCAUGUCGUGGUUUACACUCGCGGAGUUUGGAGGAUUAAGGGCAUAAUCCAGGUACUUAACAAAAUCUAUUGGCAAACCCAAUUAUAAGAGUUUUAAGUUGAAUCAGACAGGUUGAAGAACAGUUCAUGUUUUGGUUCAAUGAAUUCGAUGGAUAUACAUGUUUCUUUCCAUCAAUUGCUUGUAUGUUUGUAGAAAAGGUAUAUUUACAAAACAAAUAAACAUUGUGCAUCCUCUGAAUCAUAAUGCUAAGCUUAUGUGACUAUAUGGAGUCUUCUCUCUUUUCUUUUUCGGGUUUUUUGGGUUCCUUUUGUUGAUUUCUUUCCCCUUUAACUUCAGCAGUUAAAUGGUUCUCUGUAAUGGAUAAUGUUGGUCUAAGCAUUGAACUUGUUUCUUUAUUCAGGUGUCAAGAUCUAUCGGUGAUGUUUACUUGAAGAAACCCGAUUUUUAUAGAGAUCCAAUCUUUCAACGAUUCGGAAACCCUGUUCCCCUUAAAAGACCAGUUAUCACGGCAGAACCCUCCAUCCUUAUUAGAAAGCUUAAGCCCCAAGACUUAUUUCUGAUAUUUGCAUCAGAUGGCCUAUGGGAACAGUUGAGCGAUGAAACCGCGGUAGACAUUGUUUUCAGAAACCCCCGAGCUGUGAGUAUUUACCUUUGUCUUAUUGGUUAAUUUAGUCUUCAUUAGCAGCUGGACCGAAUGACAGAGUAUUGAUUUUAAGUUUGCUUGUAUUACUUGCAGGGUAUUGCUAAGAGACUGGUAAGUGCCGCACUUAGAGAAGUUGCAAAGAAAAGAGAGAUGAGAUACGGCGAUAUUAAGAAAAUCGAGAAGGGAAUAAGACGGCAUUUCCAUGACGAUAUAACCGUGAUCGUCAUUUACCUAGAUCAACACCGAGGCUCUUCACAUAACAUAGUUAAACAUAAUGCCAUGGGGUGCACGACGGCGCCAGUCGACAUCUAUUCAUACAAUGCAGAUGAAGGAUAUGAAGGAGAUUUACUUCAAACAGUUUCUUGAAUACACAACAGAAUGAGUUAAUAUUAGGUUUAGCACACUGACUUUUUAUUCUUUUUCAAGUCUUAUUCAUGUAUAGAGAAACCAAAUGAUGGGGUGGGAUUGGUUCUUAAACCAAUGUUUCAUUGGGAGAAAAAUCGAGAGUUUGGAAGGUAAUUUUAGUCACCUCAGACGGAUUCCGACACAGGCGGCUAUAGGUGUUCCGGUUGAAGUUCUAACGGUUACCGAAAAGGCUACAUUGUUUUAUUGGUUUAUUAAAUUCAUUGCUUAUAUUAUAUUUAAUUCGAAGUGAGUAACUAAAGACAAUUAAUUACGUUAUUAAUUUUUCUUGUCAAUUAUACAUAAUUUUGAUUGGUGUAAUAACAAAUUUAACCCUUAAUAUUUAUAUAUUUUGUGCAAAUGUUGACAGAAUAUGUAAAUGUUGUAGGUUAAUUUCGUUAAAUCGUGAUUAAAUUGACAGAACAUGUAAGUGUUAUGGGUUAAAUUUGUUAAAUCAAUGUUAAAUUGACAAGAAGUAUAAACUUUAAGGGCGAAUUUUGUUACUAUACCGAUAGAAAAAGUAUAAUUGAUGAAAAAAUAUUGAUGUUAUGAUUAAUGGUCAUUAGUUGCUCACUUUUAAAAUCGACAAGAUUAAAUUGUUAUAGUUUUUUUGAGAGGGACCAAUUUGUUCAAAAUGAAAAUUGAGAAGAAUCAAAAUGUCAUUGUACCUGGUUCUUAUACAUACCAUAUCUAAGUUGUGAAUUUAGUUUUUGUACAUUAAUUUACUCAAUUUCAGUCUCUUUACUUUUUAAAUUUAAAAUUUUAGUUAUGAUUUAGAUUGUAAAUUAAAUUCGUUUCAUUCUAUUAUGUUAUUAGUCUUAUACUAUUAUUACAGUUGUGAAUUUAAUUCAUGUUUUUUAAUUUUAUCAUUUUUAGUCGUUAUACUUUUCAAAUUUUAAUGCAAACGAAAAUAGUUAAAUCCAUUAAACGUAGGUUUUCUAUGUGUGCAAUAUAUGAAAAUAGCAAAUUGCAACUAUUAUUUGAUCGAGACUAAAAUUGAAUAAUACAAAAAAUACAAAAAUUAAAAUUAAAUAAAUUAAAAGAUAGAUAUUAAACUCACAAUUUAUUCAUAUACAUAAACUAAUAACAUAAUUCUUAAUACUCUUAAAUUAAAAACAACACUUAAUAAACUACGAGAGUUAGGUGAGAUGACAAAUAUCUCUCCUAUAUUAACCAGUGGUUGAAAGUUUGAUCCUCGCAUUGGGUAUAGAAUAACUUUAAAAACUCGUAGUCGGCAUCUAUUAUUUUAAUAGACCUAAAAAUGCGGAGAAUUAAUUACUGAACUCGCUCUAAGCAUGACAUAACACGACAAAGUUGGCUUGUAAUUUGUAUAUCUAAACCAAAAGGGAAAAAAUGUUUUGCGAGACAAAUUCCUUAAACUGAAAGACAUGGGAAUUUUGGCAACUAGAUAGCAAUAACCAAACUUGUUAGGUGAAACGAACCAAACUAAAGCACAAAACGACAAUCAGUUGCGCUAAAGUUAGGAUGUCUUGUCACUUUUAAAUUUUUAUUAUACAACUUGCUUCACUAAACAAAUACUAUUUAAUGAACUUUUUAAUAUUCUUACUCUACUUUUCAAUAAUUCAUAAAGCUAAUAAAUAUAUUAUAUUCUUUCAAAUUACUUUUCUUUAAAUUAUUUUUUCUUUAUUUUAAUUGAAAAUUUUUAUUGUAUUAAUUGCAUAAAAAUACUCAAAAUUUUAAUUUAUUCUUUAAUUUCGAAAUAUGUUUAAACGUUAAAACGUUAAUUUUGAUAUGAUGUAAAGUACAUUUAAAAUGCCCGAAUUAAAUUGUAAAUUUAUGUAUACUUACAUCAUUAAUAACUUGGAUCUUACGUAUUAAAAAAAUAGUGUUAAUAAAUUUUAGGAGGGUUAACACUUUUAACUGUUAGAACGAUUUUUUUAAGUAGAAAUCAUGUUGGUACUCUAACUAGAAUGGUUAUACUUUAGUUACUUGGGUUAACUGUUAAUAUUAUAAAAAGUAGAAGAUUAAAUUACAUUAAAUAAAAUUAUGGAGAUUAAAUUUUAAAUUUGAGCACAAUAAAGGGACCAAAACUAUAAUUUAACUCUUUUUAAAUUCAAUAUUUUGUUGAAGGAUUAAAUUGGGGUUGAACUUGAAACCUACUUCUAUAUUGGGGCUUGAACUUUUUUUUUGUCUAAGUUGCUCCCUAAACUUAGCAAUUUUUCUCAUAUUGAAGUUUGAACUAGGCCAUUGUUCUAAGGGGCGAAGCCAAAAUUUUUUUUUUUGGGAGUUGGAAUUAAAUUGUAUAUUUUUAUGGUAGUAAGAAUGUAAUUUUACCAUUUUAAUAGCCUAUGUCAUUAUAAUUUUAAAGGAUUAAAUCAAUUUUGUAUUAUUUAAGAGGUUAAAGUUCAAAUUUAUCAUUACUAAUUUAAAAUUUUAUAAAUUAUAAAAAGUUUAAAUAGAAAAUUUUUCAUUUUAGGGGGAACUGGGGGCCUUGCCAACCUCUCUGGCUUUGCCAUUGAUUGUUUCCAUAUUGGAGCUAAACUUGACAAUUGUUCCUACAUUGAUGCCUAAGUUUUAGGGUUUUCAAAGAAACAUCAUGGAUUAAUUUGGAUCAAAAAAGGUUCAAGCCCCAAUAUAAAAACAAUUACCACAAAAAAAUUCAGGUCUCAAUAUGAAAAUAAUUACCAAUUUCAGGCCCAAAAAGGUGAUUUAACCCUUUGCCCAACCCCAUUCAAGUUACCAAACGAGAGGAAAAUAACAAAUUCCUAGAAAAUCUACAAUUUUGUGCGCUAAAAAAGAAAAUACAAAUAGUCGUUUCAGUAUAAUUUUCUCGGAAAAUAACCAAAACCCAGUCCUUUAAGCUUCAACAUCCAAAGAAAAAAGAAUGACUGCAAGUCAUUUGGUUGCUGAAUCCGUGUGGAAAACAAUAGAGUCAACUCAUUCAGGUCUUUCUUUUUUUCCCCCCUUAUUUAUUCUUUCUAUGUAGAAACUAAAUUCCAUCUUCUUCUUUUUUCCUUUUUUAAAUCCCUAAAUUUUGUGAUCUUAUGACCCAAAUUGGCCAGUAAAUGAAGAGCAACUAUCAAUGUAAGCAAUACUCAUUUUCUUUUAAAUCUUUUAUUCUUGGGCUUUUUAAAAUAAAAAUAAAAAUAAAAAUGGUGGGUAUUGAUUAAUUUUGAAUUUUCUUUUAUUGUAGCUUGCAUUUUCUGUUUGGUAAAAACUUCGAGAGAGCAACAAGGAUAGUUGACCAAAGGGGUGUCAAGAAAAUCUCCGGUGAACCCAGCGGUCGUUUUAUCUUUCAGGUUCAUUCUCUUUGUUGCUAUCUCAAUUUUUGAAUAUUGGUCGAAUUCUCCUAUUAGUCCAUGCACUCUGCAUAAAUUGCAGAUUUAAUCCAUGUUCCUCGAUUUAAUGUUUUUAAUGAUUUGUUUUUCAAAUUGUAAUUUUAGUAUCAUGUUAUAUCUAUUUAAUUUAAUUAUUUUAUUUCAGUUAAUAAAUUUCACUGCUAUUGGAUAUAAGAAUAAAAAUGAUAAAAUUUUAGAACAAAUAUUAAAUCUAUAAGGUUAGGACAGAAAAAUCCAAAUAUUAUAAAAUUAAAAUUGACCAAAUUAAAAUAUGUAGACUAAAUCUGUAAUUUAGACUUAGUAUAUAUACUAAGGGAAGAAUUUGUCAUAGAAUAUUUGGACGAGUUGUCGGCUACCUUAUGUGUAAAAUAUGGUCAUUUUGGCAAAUAUUCCAUUUUAAGAACUUUCCUGGAAACUUUUCUGAAACUGUGAGCCUUGAGAUAAAACCCGAAGCAGAAUUGAGACACAUCAGUAUAUAUCCAUUUGUAUAUCUCAAUAUAUAUAUAUAACAUACGCCUGUCUAGUUAGAAUAUUUGGACAAGUUGUCGGCCACCUUAUCUGUAAAAUGUGAUCAUUUUGGCAAAUAUUCCAUAUUUAAGAACUUUCCUGGAAAAUUUCUGAAACUAUGACCCAUCAAGGCUCUUGGCAGAAUCGUGAGAUAAAACCUGAAGCAGAAUUGAGACACAUCAAUAUAUAUAUCCAUUUGUAUAUCUCAAUAUAUAUAUACAGACGCAUGUGUAGUUAGAAUAUUUGGACAAGUUGUCCUCUACCUUUUCUGUAAAAUGUGAUCAUUUUAGCAAAUAUUCCAUCUUAAGAACUUUCCUGGAAAUUUUUCUUAACUAUGACCCAUCAAGGCUCUUAGCAGAAUGGUGAGAUAAAACCCGAAGCAGAAUUGCGACACUUCAAUAUGUAUCCAAUUGUAUAUCUCAAUAUAUAUAUAUACAUAGGCAUGUCUAGUUAGACUAUUUGGACAAGUUGUCAUCUACCUUAUCUGUAAAAUGUGAUUAUUUUAGCAAAUAUUCCAUCUUAAGAACUUUCCUGGAAAAUUUUCUGAAACUAUGACCCAUCAAGACUCUUAGCAGAGUCGUGAGAUAGAACCCGAAGCAGAGUUGAGACACAUCAAUAUAUAUAUCCAUUUGUUAUAUAUAUACAUACGCAUGUCUAGUUAGAAUAUUUGGUCAAGUUGUCAUCUACCUUAUCUGUAAAAUGUGAUCAUUUUAGCAAAUAUUCCAUCUUAAGAACUUUGCUGGAAAAUUUUCUGAAACUAUGACCCAUCAAGGCUCUUAGCAGAGUCGUGAGAUAAAACCCAAAGCAGAAUUGAGCCACAUCAAUAUAUAUAUAUCCAUUUGUAUAUCUCAAUAUAUAUAUACAUACGCGUGUCUAGUUAGAAUUUUGGACAAGUUGUCAUCAACCUUAUCUGUAAAAUGUGAUCAUUUUAGCAAAUAUUCCAUCUUAAGAACUUUCCUGGAAAUUUUUCUGAAACUUUUUUUUCCCAUUGUUUGGUGCUUUAGGUUGUGGGAGAAUCUAGAAGAAAAGAAGAAUAUUUCUGUUUUGCUGAACAUUAUUGUGCUUGUUAUUCAUUCUUUUAUGAUGUAAUUAACAGAGCAGAACAGCUUUGUGUAAGAUUUCUUUAUUCCUUUAUUCCCCUUAUUUUAUUGCAUUUAAUAUAUAGGUAAAAUUUUUGAAAUUGAGCAAAUUGGUCCCUCUAAAAAAUUAUAGCAAUUUAUCUUUGUCAAUUCCAAAAGUGAGCAACUAAAAAUAAUUAAUCAAGACGUUGAUAUCAUUUGUCAAUUGUACAUAGUUUUGAUUGGUAUAAUAACAAAUUUAGCCUUGUUAUUUACAUGUUUAUACAAAUAUUGAGUUGCAUUUAUUAAAUCAGGACAAAAUUGAAAGAAUAUGUAACUUUGAGAGCUAAAUUAUUUAUUAUACCAAUCAAAUUUAUGUACAAUUGAUGAUCAAAAUAUUAAUGUUGUGAUUAAUUAUUCUUAGUUGCUCACUUUUGAAUUAAAACGGAUUAAAUUACUUCAAAUUUUUUAGAGGAUUCAAUAUGCUCAAUUUACUUAAAUUUUUUUAGAGGAUUCAAUAUGUUCAAUUUUAAAAUUAAAAGGGAUUAAAUUACUUUAAUUUUUUUAGAAGAUUCAAUAUGCUCAAUUUCAAAAUUGAGAGGGACUCACCUAUAUAUAUUUGCUGUAUUUUCAUAUUUUGUUUUGCUUUUGUGUAGUGUAAGCAUCAAUUAGCUGCAAGGCUUGCUGGAUCAUUGGGAGCUUGUAUUGAAGUUAAAGUGUCUGAUGAACAGCUAGCUGUAUUACUUUCUGAGCUCUAAAUUUUUGUAGUAAAAUCGUAGCGGGUCGGAUCCGAAAUUUAAUCUAGUUGGUUCAUGCAGUUACAUUUAAAGAAAUGACAUUCAAUAAAUAUGAUUCAAUUUUUGAUAAAUAAAAAUAUUGUUUGUAUGUUUAACAACAAAAAGAAUGAACAAAUUAUAAUCAUCAAAUCAAGGAACAAUAUUGUGAGUUUUCAUCUUUUUAAUCCAUGAAUUGAACGACGUUUUCGAGUUUCGGAACCCGACAAAUCCAUGUUCUUUGCUCUUGUUCAUGCUAUCCAACAGUGACUUCCCCGAAAGCACCGAAUCAACGAACUGCCAUGCUCCGGCAUUGCUCAAUUUCAUCGGCAAAAGACCGUUCUCCCUCACGAUGUUGUCCCACACCGGACCUUUGUCUUUCAUCAUUUCAACCAAGCUUGGCACCUUCUCUUCGGUUUCUUGAAAUCCGUAGUGUUCGAUACCGAACUGGUCAGCUAACACUUUCCAUAAGUCCUUCCACUUAAACACAUCUCCAUUGCUACAAUUAAAGGCUUCGUUUUUCGCUCGCCGGCUCAUUGCUGCCCAUAUUUGAUGUUCUGCAAUCAAAUCCGCAUCCGAUGCAUCCCAGUACCCUUCCCACGCUUGUCGGUUCCCCGGAAACCUCAACGGCUCGCUUUCAUGCUUACAUAUCGACGCGUAAAUGCAUAAACUCCGAACUAUAUUCAUCGAACUAAACGGAGAAAACCCAAAAACCAAUCCCGGCCUAUGAACAGACCAUGUCAAGUUCUCCUUCUGCUUCACUUCUUCCAACAAAACAUCCUCGAGCGUAUAACACAAGUUUGACGACUUAAGCCUCGGAAGAUCCUCGCGAAAAGGAGGAUCAUGGGGCUGAACAUGAUAUUUUCCGUACAAAUCAAUCGGACCGGUGUAAUGCCGACGACCGGUUUGCAAGCAUAUAUGUUUCAACUUGGGUGAAUUCGGGAUUACCGCUUUCAACACGUUCCGUAACAUAGUACCAUUGAUAACGCAGUUUUCAUCUUCAGUUGAUCUCUUAUCCCAUGCAACAUAAAACACAUGAGUCACAUCGUUAAGCUUUGAUAAUUUAUCACAUGUUUCUUCUUCAUCUAAAACAUCGCAUUGUAUGUACUCAAUAGGCAAAUGACUAGUCGAGGCUGGUCGAGGCUGACGAGCAACACCGUAGACCUUCCACGGUCCGCCGGGAAUACCGGAGAACGGAAGAAUCUCGGCGAGACUGUUACCGACUAUGCCGGUGAUGCCAAUGACCAAAGCAACACUCUUGUACUUGGAUUGUUUAUCAUGUUCUUCCAUUUUCUUCUGUAAAAAAAAAAAAAAUCUGGGUUCAUUAGAUUAAAUGCAGAGAAAGAGAACCCAAAAAAAUGAAUGAGCAUUAACGUACCUUGGCAGCACCAAUGGCUCCUGCCCACCACCAACUCAUUGUAUGUUUUUCUUUUGCUGUUAAUGAAAAAAAAUGCUGAAUUACAUCCUUAAACUUUGUCUGCAAUGUUUUUAUAGUGAUCCGCUUUGAUAAAAGUGACGUCUGGGAAUUUAAAAAAGGAAAAAAAAACCAAUCUUAUCUAUUUACAUGUAUCAACUACAGCUCAACAAGAACUUGUUAUCAAUUUGAUUUCUUUAUAAUAAUAAUAAUAAUAAUAAUUUUAGUUGGGAUAAAUUACAAGAAUAGUCACUCUUGUUUGUCUUAGAUUAUAUUUUAGUCAAUUAUGUUAUCGUUUUGUUACGAAGUGGUCACUCUACCGCUAAACUCCGUUACCUCCCUAGCGGUAGUUCUACGUGACAGUUAAAAUUAAAUUUAUUUAAUUAAAAACAUAUUUUCAUCCCAGUAGCUGGACAUCCAAGUUGGCAUUUAAAACAUGUUUGGAUUGCUACGUAGGACAAUCGUUAGGGAGGUAACGGAGCUUAACGGUAGAGCGACCAUUUCAUAACAAAAUGAUAACAUAUGUGACUAAAAUAUAACAUUUUAAACAUAAAUGAUUAAAAUGUAAUAUGAUUCAAACAAAAGUAACUAUUUUUAUAGUUUACCAUUUUAUUUUUAAUUUGUUUGAAUAAACAUGGAUACAACACAUAUAUUUUAUAUAAAAUAAUUUAAGUGGCGGAAUUUUUUAAAAGAAAAUCAGAAAGGACGUGGAAAAUGGGUUAAUUGGUGAAUAUGUGUAAAUCCUUCAAUAAUUGAAUUGGUCAGCCAACACUUAAAGACUAAGGAUUAGACAGCUAGUAAACACAUCAGCAUAUAAUCAAGCUUGCGUGGAGAACCUAGCGUGUAAGGAAACAAUACAUCCUUAUCUAUUCACUAAAUCUUCUAAUGCUAUGAAAAAAAAGGAUAGAAUUUUGUGAAUUUUAUAAUUGGAAAGUUUAAGGAUAGGAAAUUAAUAUGAAAUUUGGCUUUUUUGUUUUUUUAAUUUGUAUUCCAAGUUAGUUUUUUACUAUUUAAGUCAAACAUUUCUAUUGGGUAUUGUUAAAUUAACAUGAGUAUUAUUGUUAAUAUAGAGGAAUGUGUGUUUGAGUGCGUUGAAGUGUUAGGUCUGUUCUUGACGUUUUUGGGCCUUAACAAAACAAUAAAAUGGGUUUCAAGUUCCUUAAAAGUUGAAGAAAAAAAAUUUGGUCCCUAAAAGUUGGUAAAAAAAAUUUGGCCUUUAAAAGUUAAAAAUAAGAAUUUUGGGCCCCUUAACAAUUGGAGAAUAAUAUUUUAGACCCCUUUCAGCCUUGGGCUCUGGGAAGCCGCACCUCUAGACGACCUCUAGAGCCAGGCCUGUGAAGCGCAUUAUCCUCUUAUUUAUGGGUUGGAGUAUAAUCAGAACCUAUAAUGAGAUUGUUAAAAAAAAUUUUAAAACAAAAAAGUUUUAAGAUGGAUUGUGAAUUUAAGGUUUUUUUUUAAUGGUUACAAGUUGCUUGGAAACAAAAUAUUAGUAAAUCAGAAUAGAAAAAUAAAUAAAUAAAUAAAUUGAAAACAAUUAGUCUCUCGAUAUGAUAAAUUAAUUUUGUUUAACAUUCGUUGUAACGACGGUUAGAAAGAAAACAAGCAGCGAAAAAAAUAAAAGAAGAAAAGAAUUGACACAACCGAUCUUUGUUAAUACAGUUUAGACACAGUGGUCCUAUAUUUGCGGAGCCUCUCCCAGUGAAUGAUUUUAUUCAACAAUCGUUCGGAUCACCUAUUGGCUUAAGCCCGAUUACCUUUACACAAAGAAAUAAUUCAAGCUUCAAUAUUGACCCCAAUUGUCACAAAUCACUCACCCAAAUACCUCACAAUAUGAUAGACUUUAAACUCCUAUUUAAAAGUUGAAAUUAUCCCAUUAAUUAUCUUUAGUACCCCAGGGUGAAUCAAACUCAGUAUAAACGAAACCUAUUUAAGGCCCAAGUCAAUAACUUAAGUAGAGAAACAGUUUCGUUAUAAUUGGACAUAAAACAAACAGCAAUUUUCCCAACAAAAACAUAAUGGGGAGAGCGAGACUUAUUCCUAAGUUGGCAAAUGCAAUUGCUCAGCUGUUUGUUUCAUGCAAAACUUAGUUGGCAAUUAACAAAUUCAAAUAGGCUCAACAUCUUUAACCUAUGGAUAGAAUUUCUAAUGCCAAUUUGAAUUCCUUCCUUCCAAGAAAUCCUUCAACAUUUUUAUCUCUUUGUGCAAGCAUUAUUGUAACAAGUCCAUCUUCUUAACUUUCACUAGAGAAUCUGUGGUGAUAUGGAGUUUACAGUAAACCCUAUUCGAAUGGGGAGUAACAAUCCUCUUUUGUCCGAUGAUUCUUUUGUUUUGGGUAAGAAUUCCAAAAUUCAUUUUACAAAGAGUAAACGAAAGUUGUGUUAUUGUUUAUGGGAAUACAUGAAAGUAAUCUAGAGUCGAGCAUUUUAUACCAUUUGUCUUAUAGAAUUUUGGGUUAACUUCGUUUGGUCGGUAAAUUUGACGAUAUAUGUCAUGUUAAUCUUUCUAAAAAAGUAAAUGGUGAAUUACAUUAAUGGUUAUCUAAUUAUGAUUUUUUUUUAUCACCCAACCAUAAAAAAUUACAAAAUAGUUAGUCAAUUAUUAGUAUUUUUUUUAUCAUCCAAUUAUAAAAAAGUGACAAAAUAAUCUUCAUUUUCAUGUUAACCGACUAAUAACUAAAAAAUUAAUUGAAUAAUUAGAUGAUCAUUUUGUAAAAUUUUCAUAGUUAGGUGAUAAAUGAAACUAUAAUCUGAGUGUCCUCUAUUAUAGUUUUGAGUAUAUAAAUAAUAAAAUUGCACAUCCUAUUUGAUAUUUUUGAGCAAAAGAAAAGAAAAGAAUAAUGAACUUGGAUACAUGGUAUUAGAGCGACUUAUGAUUGCAAUUGCACAUCCUAUAUGAUAUUUUUUUAGCAAAAAAAAAAAAGAGAAAAGAAUAAUAACCUUAAAUACAUGGUAUUAGAGCGACCUAUGAUUGCAAUUCCACAUUGACUUCCCAUAGGAUGGAUCAAUAGGUACUCCAAGUCAAACUCCUAAAGUGUGCAGUAGGAGAAAAUAACAACAAAACCCAUGACAAACGCAACACGAGUUUAGAUGGAGAAGAAUAUUAAGCGAAACACUAAAAAAAUUAGAUAACAUUAUUAAUCCCAUAUCAAAAAACAAAUAAGAAAACAAGUAGACUUGUACGCUCUAGGAAAGCAUAUGACUAAUAUCACUAGGGGGGUUUAGCUAGGUACAGCUGAUGGUCCCAAGUUGAAAGGGACUCUUGAGUAUCGCUGAUGUUUUGACCUUAGUCCUAUAUAAUAGGGGCAAAACACUAUCUAUCCGGCGCGUCCACACCCAAUGAGAUAGAUUUUUGGUCACCUAGACUGAAUGGUCUAUGGACGCCUCUAAUCCAGCUGACUUAUCCUAUUUUAUACACAAAAAUGUUGAAAUCUCUAAAUAAUGAAGAGUAAACUAAAAUCAAAUAGCUUCCAUUAACAAGACAUGGGGUUAGAGCUUAGGGUUUAGAAUUAAUAAAGAAUCAUGAUUGCAAGCCAAACCUGGAUCAUUCAUAUACAUUAGAUGACAAUGAUAUCUCUAUAAGUUUUAGCAUUAAAACUAGGUUUGAGGAAACAUCAAAACAGAAAAUCCAAUUUGCAGACAUAAAAUACUUCAUUAAUUACAUUAACAAAAAGCUUAUCAAACAUUCCUUUGGAAAACAAUUUUGCAAAGACACUGUUAACUGCACAUAAUGAUUUAUAUUUGACUUGUAUAAAAGCAAUUGUACAUACCUUUUCAAGAUUUUCAAUUCCCCUCUUUCUUGUUUCAUCUGCUAUAUAAUACAAAAUUCCCCAUCAGCUACAUGCAUAGCUAAAUAGAGCUUUAGGCAUUCAAAAAGCUAAAGAACACAUGUUGGCCUCGAGGAAACACACAGAACCGUGCACAACGUCACAUUUCCACUUUCUCAGCAUGCUCGAAUUGAUGAACACAACGAACAGUGCUAACACAAUACUAAAAAGGUUUUCUUUAUGGAAGACAACUUUCUAUGACCAUUUUUCCACGACACGCUCUGAUAAUCUAAUUUCCUCAUCCUUGGAAAUAUGUGGAUCUAGCUUCUGAAGGUUGUCAAUAAAUGUCUUUGCCUCAUCACGCUGAUUGAGUUUACAAUAUCCAUCAACUAUGGAAUUGUAUGUAUUCUGGUUUGGUUUACAGCCGUGCUUGAUCAUGAAUUGGACAACAUCUAUGGCUUCCUCAAACAAGGAAUCAGCUGCAUAGCUUGCAACAAAGGUAUUGUAAGUGAUAACAUCUGGAACAAGGCCAGAAUCACCCAUUUCUGAAAAUAUCCGAGAAGCCUCUUUCAUUCGACCGUUUCUACAAUAGGCAUAAAUAACAGUGUUAUACGAGAUUAUAUCUGGUUUUAUUCCUUUUGCCUGAACUUCCCUUAAAAUUUGUUCUGAUUCCUCGAACUUUUCAGAGCGGCUAUACAUAUACAUCAAACUGUUGUAGGUCGUCAAGCUCGGAGUAUACCCACACUCAUUCAUGAAGUUCAAGAUCUCAUUUGUCUUGGAAACCAUCUGCCUCCUGCCAUAUAUUGAGAGCAUGGCAUUUAGAGUAGUUAUGUCAGGUGGAAAUCCUUUCUUCCUCAAUUCCAAGAAAGCACGCUCUGUAUCCGCAAGAAGGUCGCAUUUACUAUUAACCAAAACAAGAGUCUUUAACAGCACAGCAUGAGGUUCGAUGAUACCGGAGUAUAUCUCUUCCGCUAGGGCAUGCAUCCGAUCUACCUGCUUCCCAUUGGCAUAAACAUGAAGCAAAGAACAGUAGGUUAGCUCAUUGGGUUUGCAACGACCGUCUCUCAUUUCAGCCAGUAUUUUCUCAGACUGCUUCCAAAGCCCUCCCCGUGCCAAUGCCGCCAAAACAGCAUUAUAUGUAGAAAGGUCGGGGGUAACUCCAGCUUCCAGCAUUCUCUUAUAAAUAGCCAUGGCUUGAUCAAAAGCACCACAGCGACUGUAUGCACUAAUUAAAGUGUUGAAUGUGUCCCUUUCAGGUACAAACCCUGCCCUCUUCAUCUCCUUGAACACUCCAGACACUUCUACAUCCAUUCCAUUUUGCCCAAAUACUGCCAGUAGUGUAUUCCAAGUAACAAUAUCCGGUGCACCAUUGCAUGCCUUGAUCUCGUCAAAAAUCUUCAUCAUCUCAGUGAACUUCCCGCGGUUACCGUGCAUCUUAAUUAGAGCAUUGAAAGUGCAAAUAUUCGGCUUGCAACCAGAAGUUCUCAUCUCCUCAAAAACCGCCAUUGCAGACUCAUCUUUUCCGGCCUUGGCAAAUCCCGACAAAAGAGUGGUAUAGGUAAAAACAUCAGGCUUAAUCCCUUUUCCCUCCAUCUGUGUUUUCAAGUCCAUUGCUUCCUGCAACAGACCAUCCCUAGCAUAAGCGGAAAUCAACGAAUUAUAAGUCACAGUGCUAGGGGCAAACCCAUUAAGCUCCAUCUCUUUUAAAACCUCCAUAGCUUCCUUCGGACGCCGAGACUUACCAUAAACAUCCAACAAUGCAUUGUAAGUAACAUUAUCUGGAGUAAAACCAGCCAAUUUCAUUUCAUCGAAAACCGAAGCCGCUUCCUCAUGCAAAGACCCUCGACGACAGCUACUUAUAAGCGUAUUAUAAGUAUAAGCAUCAGGGGCAAUUCCAUCACUUUUCAUUCCAUCAAAAAGAGCCAUGACCUUACUCCAAGGCAUGCCCAUUUUACCAUACACAUUCAAAACCACAUUAUAAGUUAUCAAAGUAGGUUUACAACCCUCUUCCUCCAUUUUCUUAAAAACCACCAUGGCUUCCCUAUACCUCCCACUACCAGCAUAAGCAGUUAUCAAUGAAGUAUAAGCAUAAACAUCAAGACUAAACCCUUCUUUGUGCAAACCAUUAAACAAAUUAGCUGCAACAGAAACCCUCCCCUCUUUCCCUAACAUACUAAUAAUAAUAGCAACAACAGAGCUAUUCAACACCAAUCCACAAUCAUUUCUAGCUCUAACCCAAUUGAAAACACCCAAAGCCAAGUUAGAUUUCUUGUAAAAACCCAAAGCUUUAACAAUUCCCACCACUUCCGCAGCCAAAAAAUCAGCUUUCACAUCUGGGUUUUCUUGGUAUUGCUCAAACAACUUACUCAAAACAACAUCAAGUUGAUUAGAAUCAAAAGAAGGUUCAAUUAAGGAAUUAAGAACCUGCUGACCUUGAGCAGAGAGGUUGUUAUGAGUCCAACGCUUCCCACGGUUGACGUCACGUGACCGGCCGAGACGGUUCCGGGUCCGGACUUGUGGGUCGAUGGGUUGUUGGGACUUAGAAUUAUGUCGAAGAAGGAGGUCUUGAAAGACUGGAGUCGAGGGAGCAGGUGAAUUGGGUUGUGAAGUUGGGUUUUGUUGAGUGAAGUGAGUUUGGUUUGAUAAUGGGGUUUUAACAGGUGGGGGAUUUGGAAGGAGAAGAGGGAGAGCAAGCCUCUCUGCCAUUAAAGAGAGGAUAAGAAAGUUGCAGCCUUUGUAUCUAUGGUUGAGUUAGAAACAGAGAGGGAGAAAAAGAAAAGGGUAAUUGAUAAUUUUAGUGCGCUUUCGUUAUUACUUGCAGAGUCCACAACUUUUUUUUUUAGAAGUCUAAGGCUUAAAGGGGGACAUGACAAAGAUAUGCGGAGGAUAUUUUAGGAGGUAAAAGGGAGAUUAUAUUCUUCUGUGGUUAAGAAUGAACUAUUGAAAUACUAUGACCAAUAAAAGGUUGCCACGUAAACUCUGAAAGCGGACUCUUAAGUCAAAAUUGGUGACGUUUGCCCUCUUCAAAAUUAGUUCGAUUAGACAAAUUAUACUUAUUUAAACAUUUUCUCUUUUAUUUUUAUAUAAAAAUUAAUUUAAAGUGAAGCUUAAUAUUAUUAUAUUAAUAAUAUUUUUUAUUUUAAAAAAUAUUUAAAAUUAAUAAAAUAUUUAUAAUUUUCAAUAUUAUUAAUCAUACUUAUUUAAUUAUCUAUUUCUAAUCAUAUUAAUAACUUAUUAUUUUAAUAAUUUAUUUAAUAAUUUAAUUUUAUUUUAAAAAUAAAUUUGAAAAAUAAUAAUUUUAAAUAAUAUUCUUCAUAUAGUAUUGAAAAAUAUUCAAUGUUAAUAUUUUAAUAAUAAAUAUUUAUUACAAUUAUAAAUAUAUUACAGAUAAAUAUUUUGUAGUAUAAAUGUUAAAAUAUGUCAUAAAUAUAUAUACUCCUCACAAAUUUGAAAUUUAGUCCCUAUUCUUUUAUUUUCAAGAAUUUAAUCAUUCUACUGUUCAUAUUUAAAAAUCAAGUCCAAUUGUUAACAUUGUUAAAUUUUUUUUGUCAAUUUUGUUGAUGUCAAUUUUUAAAUAAAAAAUACUUGAUAUUCAUGUAACUAAAAGAUGACGUUACAAUUAACAUGAAUUUAACAAAAUAUUUUUAAUAAUGCUAUCAGAUGAACCUUAAUUUUGAUAUAUAAAAGGUAGGACUAACCCAAAAAUAAAAGCACAUGGACUAAAUUUCAAAUUUACGAAAAGUACAAUGACUUAUGACAUAUUUUAACCUAGUAUAAAAAUAUGAAUAUUUUAAUUAUAUAAAUUUGAAUAUUUGUUUAAGUAAUGUUUAGCUUCAUUUAUCCUUUACAACUCUAAUGUGUCAAUAUCUAUUCUCACAUAUCUAAUAUAUAUAAUUAAAAUUAAGUUUUAAUUAAGCAUUAUUUAUUAUUAAGUUUAUAUAUGACACUGAUUAUUACAAAAUAUUUUCUUAUUAUAAAAUAAAUUUCAAUUGUUAAAAGGAAAUUGCACUGUAAUAUUUUAUAACAAAUAUAUUUAUGUCAUGUUUGUUUUACAAAGAACAAUGUAAAAUAUAAAUUUAUAGAUAUAAAAUAAACUCAAUUAAACAAUGAAAAUAUAAGAAAAUCUCAUAUGUAUGUUUGUUUCAUUGAAAACAACUUUUAUGAAAUAUUUAUAGUAAAUCUGUCAAAUAACAGAAAAUAUUAAUUUUUCAAAAAAGUAAGUCAUUUUCCAGAAAUCAUUUUUCGGAAGUCAUUUUCAGUGAAACAAAUGGAACCUAAACUUGAAAAUCGUAAGUUAACUUGAUAUUUUUUUAGGCACCUAAUACUAUUAAAAUAUACUGACAUAACACUGACGAUCAAUUGGAUGGUGACACGUGAUAACCUCACAUUUUUUAUUAUAAAUAUUAUAUUUUUUUAUUUUGCCACGUGUCAAAAUAUAAGGCUAUCACGUGUCACCAUUCUAUUAGUAGUCAACGUCACAUCAGCGUAUUUUAAUGAUGUUAGUCAAGUAGCUAAAAAAACACAAAGUUGACUUAUAAUUUUUAAGUUUAGGUACCAGUCAGGGCCAAAAUUAAACUAUGUAAUUGAUAUUUAUGUCAUUAUUGUUGUUUAUUUGUGUAACUAAGAAUUGAUGACUUUAUUGUUUCAACCACUAAUUCGGUUUCCAAAAAACAUUGAUUCAAAGGAAACUAACCUAAACCGAACUAUAUAAUUGAUGUUUAUGCCAUUAUUAUAUAUGUGUUUAUAAUAACUAGAAUCGAUAACUUAACCGUUUCAACCACCUCUUCCAACUUCUAAAAAAAACAUUGGUAAAUGGAAGUUAGAUUAUUUUCAAAUCUUCAAGCUUUAUAAGUUAUUGAAUCGAGUGAUAAAAUACUUAUUAAUUCAUAAAAAGUUGAUGAAUCGUUUGAAAAGAAAGAAAAAGAAAAAGAAAAACCAAUGCUAAAAAAUGCUUGUUUCUUAUUUAGAAGUCCAAUUCAACUCAAGUUGUGUUUAGUAUUACUUUUAAGAAGUAUUUUUGAGAAAAAAAUACUUUUGAGAUAAAAACAUUAUUAAAUAAAAUGCUAAAUUGACCCGCAAUCGAUACCUGUGGGNNNNNNNNNNNNNNNNNNNNNNNNNNNNNNNNNNNNNNNNNNNNNNNNNNNNNNNNNNNNNNNNNNNNNNNNNNNNNNNNNNNNNNNNNNNNNNNNNNNNNNNNNNNNNNNNNNNNNNNNNNNNNNNNNNNNNNNNNNNNNNNNNNNNNNNNNNNNNNNNNNNNNNNNNNNNNNNNNNNNNNNNNNNNNNNNNNNNNNNNNNNNNNNNNNNNNNNNNNNNNNNNNNNNNNNNNNNNNNNNNNNNNNNNNNNNNNNNNNNNNNNNNNNNNNNNNNNNNNNNNNNNNNNNNNNNNNNNNNNNNNNNNNNNNNNNNNNNNNNNNNNNNNNNNNNNNNNNNNNNNNNNNNNNNNNNNNNNNNNNNNNNNNNNNNNNNNNNNNNNNNNNNNNNNNNNNNNNNNNNNNNNNNNNNNNNNNNNNNNNNNNNNNNNNNNNNNNNNNNNNNNNNNNNNNNNNNNNNNNNNNNNNNNNNNNNNNNNNNNNNNNNNNNNNNNNNNNNNNNNAAUAUAUCUUAAAUUUUAUUUUAUUGUAAUUUUAUAUGAAUUGAUUAUAAUUUUAAUUGACCGAAUAUAUAUCCUUUAUUAUUUAUAUUAUAUUUGUACUUGUAAUUUUUUUAAAAAUUUAAAUUAAACAUGCCCUUUUUUUAAAAAUGUAAAUAUAAAUAUUUGUUUAUAUUAUAAUGUGUUUAUAAUAAGAGUCAGAUUAUAUAUAUAUAUAUUUGUAAUAGAGUCAGAUUAUAUUUUACAUCUUCUGUUCGAAAAAAUUGGAAAAUUAAUCAACAGAUAAAAAUUAAAUCUAUUCUUAUUAUUAAAAAUUAUUUAAUUUCUGAAAAAAUUCUUAUAGGUAACCUUUUAGAUCUUUUUUAGCUGUGUUUAUUAAAAAAAAUAAAAAAAUAUAAAAGUAGUUUUUUUAGAGUAAAUGUAAAACUUUAAAAUAAUUGUAAUAUGUAAAAUUAAAAAUAUUAAACUAUUUACAACCGUCGGAUUAAAAAUGAUAUAUUUUUGAAUGAUGAUGAAGAUCGAUUCCUGAUGUAUAUAAAUACUGCCUUCUAUUCCCUUCAGUCUUCGCUUCACCCACUUUCUCAUUUCACACGGGUUGUGGCGUAGUUUAAGCAGAGAGGGUGCGCAGGAUAAAGCUAUUCACCAUUGUUUCAACAUGAAGGUUUGUAAUAAAAAUUUGUUUCUAUCAGCAUUGCUUUGCAUUGCUGUUGCAGGAGUUUUGGGUCAAGCUCCUAGUAAUCCUCCUACGUCUACGCCGGCGCCACCCACACCACCGGCUUCUACUCCUCCUCCGACGACUCAAGCACCGCCUACACCAACCGCCACUCCGCCACCGGUUUCUACUCCUCCUCCCACUUCAUCACCGCCCCCAGUGACAGCUUCUCCACCCCCAGUUUCAACUCCUCCACCCAGUUCUCCUCCUCCUGCAACUCCACCACCUGCUUCUCCUCCUCCUGCAACUCCACCUCCAGCUUCUCCACCUCCUGCCACUCCUCCACCAGCUUCUCCACCUCCCGCCACUCCACCACCUGCAACCCCACCGCCAGCAACUCCUCCUCCUGCUACCCCACCACCAGCUCCAUUGGCUUCUCCUCCAGCCACAGUCCCAGCUAUCUCUCCAGUACAAACACCAUUGACAUCGCCACCAGCUCCGCCGACCGAGGCCCCAGCACCUACCCUCGGGGCUGCUACGCCAGGUCCAGCUGGAACUGACACGGUACAUUUUCUCUUAUUCCACCAUUUUAUAUCCUUCUUCUCCACCUACGAUCAAGCUUUAUUAUCGGUUGAAAUUUAAGCCUUUACAGCAAGACUUAAAAUAUAAUUUUAUUAAUGGUUUUAUAAUAUUAAAUUAUAAUUUUAUCAUUCUUACACAUUAAUAUAUAAUGUGAUAAAAUUUUUUACUUUGGGUACCGUGCCAACUUCCUAACGUCGCCCUUAAUCUUACAUAAACAACGAUCUGAGCUUGUCUCGAUAUUAGCUAACCCUUAAGCCAUUAGAGAUGGCUAUUGGUUCCGUCUCGACAUACCUUCAACAUAAUCUGAUUUAAAAUUAAAUACUUAUAUCUAUUUUUUAACACAAUAUUUAAAAUUAUCUAUAAUUUCUUCUCAACUUAUAAUUAAAAUAACAAUACUUCAGCGUAUUCAAAUUUACGUACCUAUGUUAAUCUAAUUUGACAAUAAUAUUUAUGUUAAUUGAAUUAAAGCUUGAGAUAUUAAAUUUAAUUAAGA